CAUGCAGUGUGGGUUUCCCAAAAACUGUCAGCAUACUCCACAGCAAGUGGCCAAAAUAUAUCACUACGAACGAGUCAUUCUAUAGCUGUAGCAUUUUAAUAUGGUGCUGCACGCUGGAAGCGAGAUGCAUGCCGGCAAAUGAACUUUUUAUGCUUAUUUUUCGUAUUGAUGAAACCAGAACAUCCACAUUCUACAGAGGCAACAAAAAUUUACAGCUCAGCUAUGAAGUACAUCAAGCCUGUCAAACGAGCAGGUUUGGUGUAUCAGAUAUUGAUCCUACGCUGCUAUUUGGAAAUAAAGAUUAAUUGAAGCAGAAAAUAAUAAAAAAAUAUUUGGGUUAUUAUGGAACUGAUUGAUACCACCGGCGCUUUACUUCAGUUUUUGACCGAACCUCCCUGAGCCUCCCAUCAGUUCCAUAGUCUCUCUCCAUCACCAGGUUGAUCCCUUCUUCUGAGUACCACCCAACUCCGAUACAGAGUAUGCCGUCUUCACUGAUGUCAACAUAGGCAGUGACACCACCAGGUAACCAAAGCACGGUGACAUCCUGCAUGUCGAGCAUCUCUUCCUCCCCAAAGAGAACUGAACUCUCUGGCAGGGUUCUCUUCUUCACUGUCUCCAUGCACAAGUAUACGAAAGGAGAACCGCCCUCUAGUUCUUGCCUUUCAUCACUGAAAAUCGGUGUUGCACUGACUUCGUAUACUUUCCAGGAGCCUGUCAGUUCUGACGGUUUGGUCCGGCUUCUUUGAGAGAAUGGUUUAAGGUCAACAAGUGUAUCACUGCAGAGAAGAUAAAUGCAGUUCAUUACAAAACUUGUAGAGACAAUAUUAUUCAAAACUAGGCAUUUUUUUAUACACCCAGACCACAUAAAACAGUUUCUGUUUUUUUAAAUAAUCAUGAUCAUUCAUCUCCCGUAGAGAAAUUCUGGAUUUAUUAAAUCAAAUGGCUCCUCUGCUCAUAUUUGGUCUUCCAAUUUCUUUUUCUAGUUAGGGUCCGCACACAAUUACUGGUGAACCAAUAAUUAGGUUUGAAACCACAAAUAAUCAACCACUCAAUAUUAAAGUACAGGAGAAGUGGAGAACUGUACCUAGAAAAGAUUCCUGCAUUUCUAUCUUAUUAGUUUCUGUGAAGUGUGAACUGAUGUGUUAGUUUGGAAUCAUACUGCAAAACCAUAGGAAUAUGUUCCCCAAUAACCUACUCCCUCUGUUCCAAACUGUAAGUCAUAUUGGAAAAUCUGUGGACCUAGAAAAGCCAAAACGACUUACAAUUUGGAAUGGAGGGAGUAAGAAAAUUUUUGCUGCCACUUGUGGAGGACAUAUUUGAUAGACACAAAGGUUUUGUUGCCAAAUACAAAGGUCAUCAUCUUUUGGAAGUCUCUGUAGCUAAUCAGGAACAAAGUGAGCCCAAACCUUAGAAGAAUGUCACCAUACUUAGGCCUGGCCGCCUGGGCCUUCGGUCCUGACCGAGAAAUCAGGUCGGUUACUUCGGUUUUUAAAAAUUCGGUCUCUAGAUAUUGGAAACCGAUCUUCUACCUGAGUGCUGAGGAACCGAUAAUUCGGUUGCCCGAGAUGUAGGUUCGGUUUAUUGGUGCUGACCGAACCAACCGAGCAGCAGCCAUCAGGGACAGGGAUAGACAUUUGACAUUCAAUAGGGAAAACAAGAUUACUAGUACACAUGUAUAAGGCACUACACAACUGUUGUUGUUGUGCCUGAGGAGAGACCUGACGCGUGUCCUUGCCAUUGGUACUUGAGUUGGGCUCCAGAGGACACACAAUCAUUGCUGGAGGGCAAGUAGGCCUUCAGCAACAGCAUGCAGUCAUCACCCAGGGACACACAGAAGCAGAACCACGCCACUGCCGGGGCUGUUGUCACGGUGCCCGCACCAGACUUGGAAGCUUCGUCGCUGGGAUCUCAAUCGGCCGCCGCCCUCUCCCACCAACUCAUGCUCCUCCCGAUCCUCUGCUCGCCAGUGUCGAGGAAUGCAGACAGACAGUCUGAUGAGUGAUGGUCGACGGCGUUCAGGCGUGUUGUGACAGCUUGUGGGGAGGGGGGAGGAGUUGAGAGGGCAGGGGUGACUGAGCAAAGGCUACAAGAUGGGGAUGGGGGCGGCGGUGAAGGGGAAGGAUGAGAAAUAGAUUGGCCUAGUUGACUAGUUGCUGCAGAGACAGAGAGUAAAAUAUAUAUAUCGGGUAGUUCAGGACUUCGGGUAUCCGAUGAUAAGAGACCGAACCAACCGAACAUGAGUCGGUCUUCUCAAAUCUGUGACCGAAGUAAGAACCGACGACCAAAAUUUCGGCCUUUUCAGUCUCGGUCUUUUCGGGUUUGGUUUUCGGUCUCGGUUUUUUCUGCCCACCCCUAGUCCAUACUAUGAAGUGAAUUAGUCACGAUUUUUUUUAAAAAAAAAUAGUCUUGACUUUAUCUUUUUAAAACAGUUAUAUCUAUUAUAGCAUUCUUUAUCCUUUCUGGAUUGGUCCCACCAAUGUAGAACCAUUAGCAAAGCAGAUGGAAAAAAUUGUAAUUAAGCAGGCUUACUCUUCAACAUCGAUAUUUGCUGGGCUGGCCCAUUUUUCUUCAUACACAGCAACCCUUACAAUUUGUAUGUUAGCUCCUCCUUCGUUAAACUCAAUUGUAUGCACAACCCGCAAUCUCUUGUGGCAACCUUUAACAAGACACUGUAUACAAAUGGAUGUUGUAAGUUAUCAAGUCAAGUGGUAAACCAGAGUGCCAGACCCACAGGCAGCAUCAAGAAGCAAGAACCACAGUCAUCUAGACACAAAAACAGGAGCUUCUUUCCAAAAAUUAUAUUUGUUCAAACUUGAAAGUUGCAGCAGCAACUGGUUCAUUAGUAACAUAUAAUUCACAUAUAGCCCUGUAUAAGCCAAGUUUGGGAAGGAUUUUUUCCUUAUUCUUACAAAGUAAAUACACGAUUGAUGAAUUUGCUAUUUUAUUUAUACAACUGUAUAAUUCAAUUGACGUUGACUAGAAGUGGCGCAUUUACUGCACAUCAGAAAAAUACUUAUAAGCAACAAAGCCACACUAAAGGAAAAAGGUUUUGUUUCUCUGUAAGACUAACAGGUAAAGAAACACAACAUCACAAAGGAAGAAAUUCUGCAAAAGAUGGUUUCAGUAUGAUACAAGUCGCCUCUACAACAACAGAGCCUUAUAGCCCCAAGCAAGUUGGUGUAGGCAUUAGGCAAUACCAGUCAAUUUUCAUUAUGUCAAAACUAUAAUCUCUCAUGUUAGUUUGCUUGGACAACCAAAAGUCCAUCCGGCAAAAGCACAACUGGCCAAGUUAUGGCAUCACAUGUAAAAAGAGAGGGAGAAGAAAAAAUGACAAGCAUCUGCCUUGUAAUUAUCUCAAAGAAAAGAUGUUCAAAUAUGGAUAUGUGCAUGUACAGAAGCAAACUAUUCUACUUAGCACAACAAACAUUCUUAUCAAUCAAGUAAGCCUAAACUUUUGCAUGUUGUCCGUGAAAAUUGAAAAUGUAAACUUAAGUGCAGUAAACAUACUUGCUCAAACUGAUAUGUUGGUGAAAGGAAGUAUUUAGAUUCAUCAUAUUCACCAAUUGCUAUAUCAACUGGACCUCUAGAGUAUGAUCCGUCCUGAAAAUGUAAGCACAGUGGCCAAAGGAAUAAGUACUGGGUUAUUCAUCAAAAAGAAGACACAAGCGUGACAAUAACCCACUCUGCCAGAGAAGAUUAAUGGCCAGAGAAUAAAGCACUUGAACAAGAAUCGAUAUAUGAAGCAUCAAUGUCACUGAAACACGCUGAAGAAUGAUUUACUUCUUAAAUGUAGCUUGUCAACGCACAUAGAUAAUCCAGGCUUAAAUGUGUAAUAGUUCUAAAAAUUUUGAGGCAUUACCUUCACAACAAGCUUCUUUUUCCAACAGAGAACCCCAUCUAACUAUUCAAGCUUUGCACGAAGAAAUACUAAAUUACAAUUUGACAAACGAAGAAAAUGUAGGCUGGCAGCUAACAAAAAUUAUGGAUUCCUGAUUUUGCAAAACAUAGUGAAAGAUAUUGAUGAAAGGAAAUAUGCCAUGGUUUUCAAUUAGCAAUAAAUAUAAAGAAAGUUCUGCAUAUAACCAUAUCACUAGAUUUCAUAAACAGCAAAUGGAGGCGAAGACAAAAGACAACUACCUCAAAAAAUACAAUUCCAGGCUCCAUAGAAAAAGUUUCUUCAUCAAGCACAGCACUCCUGUUAAGAUCAAAAGACUCAUAUGAAGGUAAAUCAGCAGUUCCCUUCCCACUGGAAGUGCUUUGACUCCAACCGUCAUAUGAUGUGAUCUGCUUCUCAGCUUCACCAAAAGGAUUGAUUGGGACCCAAUUUGUUUUCCUUCGGAUCUCAGAGCCAUGACCACCAUCAUAAGAUUUCUCAAUGUGAGAAAGAGUGUAGCAGUCAUAAAGGUACUCUUCUUUGCUCCCAACUCCAACAGGCUCCAUCUCUGCUGUGAUUGGCGAGAAGACAGCUCCAACACCCUUCCAGUUACCACUUAAACUACUUGCAAAUGUAUCCCAAGAAGGCUUUAUGACAGGUUCCUAAGAUUGAAAACUAACAACUUCAGAAGGUUGCACCAAAUUGGUAUGGUAGUAAUAAUAAACGUUAAAUUAUUAAGCAUACAAUCUGGUGGCAGAAUGAUGUUCUCCCCAGAUUAAUGUCAACCAUUCAUGGCUAUAUGAACCCUAUCAAAAUUAGUAUUAAUUAGAAUGCCUUAACCAACGAAUUACCCAACCAUUAAUUCUUGUAUCUUUGCCGCAGCCACUGUAUAGAGUCUAAUAAACUAACUUUAAACUGUUAGUUGAUGUGAAUAACUAAAGCAACUGAUAGGAUUUCACAGGAUGAAUAGGACACCUAUCCGCCAAAAUGGUAUUAGUACUUAACUACCACUGCUGGAAAAACACGUAUCCACCUUAAAUUUAAUUCGGUAAUCAUGUAACAUAUCCUGGACAGGUCGACAGACAGCAUGAAUACCUGAGUUUGGAGCACAGUCUCGACCUCCACAAGCAUGGCUCCAGACACUAGAACCCUCGACUCCGCAUCCUUCCCCUUCCUCUUUGGUGGCGGCAGGCGGCGACCGCUGGGGCGUCUCCUGCGGCGGUGCUUCGGGCUCCGGACCGCCUCCUUGGCGGCGCGGUCGUUAUCGACGCUCCAGACGUUGUCCUUCCCCCGCGGCGACGCCUUGCCGCCGGCGGCAGAGCACGAGACGGAAGCCCUAUGGGGCGCGAUGCUGCAGUAGGAGGGGGCGCGGCGGCGGGGGGCGGAGAGGGCUAGUCCGCCACCGCUGCAUGCGCCCAGGCACGACGGCGGCAUGCUCUGCUUGCUCGGUCGUCCCGCGCGGUGUCGCUCGGCGAGUGUGGAGACUGGAAUCGGCGAGGUUGGGGAUAGUGCCAUCAAGAAAGCGACUGACACGUGGGCCGUGGGCCGCUAUGCGCGCAAGCUCAUCUACGUGGAAGUAUUUUUCUUUUCGAGUAAAGUCCACUACCCGUCCCUAAACUUGUGAUGUCGUGUCAUACCGGUCCCUAAACUCACAAAUCGAUUGUUUAGGUCCUCAAACUUGUUCAUCUGUGUCAUCUCGGUCCCUAAACUUGUUCAAUUGUGUCAUCCCGGUCCCUAAACUUAGAAAUCAUUCCUCAAAGUUGUUCAGUUGUGUCAUCUCGGUCCCUAAGCUUGGUUCUGAAUCUCAUCUGGGUCAAAACAAAGCGAUCUAACAACUCUAUAUCAAAAAAUAAUUCAUAACUUUUUCAUAUGAACUCAAAUGAAGACAAAUUUUAUACUAAAGUUAUAGUCCUCAGCACAAUCUACAACUUUGUAGUUGAAAAGUUUUUUAUUUGAAGUCGUUUAGUGUUAUAAAAUUUAAUUUUAAAUUUUAAAAUCUAUAAACUUAUAAAAAAUAUUUUGCGAACCUAAACGAUUUUAAUUUAAAAACUUUUCAACUGCAAAGUUGUAGAUCAUGUUGCUGCCUACAAUUUUGAUAUAAAGUUUAUCUUCAUUUGAGUUCAUAUGAAAAAGUUAUGAAUUAUUUUUCAAUAUAGUUUUUAGAUUCGUCCUGUUUUGACCCAGAUAAGACUUAAAAACAAGUUUAGGGACCGGAAUGACACAACUGAACAAGUUUAAGGAUCUAUACGGGAGAUUUUUAAGUUUAGGGACCAGGAUGACACAACCGAACAAGUUUAGGUACCUAAACGGUCAUUUUGCGAGUUUAAGGACCGGGAUGACACAUCCGAACAAGUUUAGGGACCGCCGAUGGACUUUACUCUUUCUUUUUUCACGUAAAUCCUAUUCACAGAACAGUCAGACUCGUGUUUAGCGAGCAAACACCUGAAUUCAUGGCUGUAUCCAAAUAUUUUAAGACCCUGGUGCAAAAUUUAAAAUGAGCCCUUGCAUUUAAGAUGUGCAGUAGGCCAAAAAAAAAUUUAAAAAUCAUUUCUCCCUUUAUCCUAAAAUGUAAGAUGCACAUGUAUUUGAGAUUUGAAAUUCAUUGUCUUUAAUUGAUCAUUAGUCUAAUCAUGUGAAAAGUUUGUGCAAAAAAGAUUAAAAUUGGAUUUAUAUUUAAGAAUAAUUUGUAAUGGUCAAAACCUUUGCCACGAAUGAUGGCAGAAAUUAGUAGUCGAUGAAAGACCUUAAAAAUCACACCAUGCAAGUCAAACAGUGGAUUGUAUUUUCAUGCAUACAAUUUGCAGCAGCAAAAGCUACGGCCGUGCUGAGAUUAGAAGCGAAUGGACCAAAAAUAUCAUUGAUGGAGAUGCCCCCAAAUAGAAUUGAGAUAUGUGUCUCCAAGGUGCAAGUAUAGUGUACUCCCUCCAUCCACAAAUGAAUGUAAACUAUGAGAUUUGUGAAAGUCAAACGAACUAACUUUGAUCAACUUUAUAGUACAUUUAUGUAUAUAAAUAUGCAAGCAUUCAAAAAUUAUAUCAAAAUAUAAGGAAUUAUAGGAACACAAAGCAAAUUUACAUUAAAUGCUUGUCAUUUAUCAAUGAAUCACCGUUAGUCUGAUGGUGUCUGAUUAAUUGGAAAAUAAAAAGAGGACAUAUAUAUCUUUUAUAUUCUCUUUAAUCUAUCCUGAAAUCAUUAGAAUGCACCACAAUACAGUAUAGAAAGAGUAUAUUUAUUAUAAGAACUAGGAGAAUACCCCGCACGUUGCUGCGGGGAUUCUAGAUAAUUUAAAAAGAAAUUAGACUAUUUAUAUUUAUAGUUAUAUGGAUGAAACUAUCUUAAAUUAAUUUUGAUGAAUGGUUUGGCUGGCCAACUAAAUGCAUGUUAGUGGAUGAAAAGAUAACUAUCAUAAUUAUACGUGCUAGUUGGCUAUAAUUGCAAGUUUUAGAGGAUUGUUGAUGUGGAUAGCUUGCAUGUUGAGAAAAUUUUCUAAUGGGGUUUAGCUUUAUAAGAGUAUAAGAUGUAUUUUAAGUUAUUUAUUUUGUAUAUGUCAGUAGUAGUUUAUAUACCUUUGGUUAACAUUUAAAUUAUUUGACUUCUUAAAAAAUGAGGAUUGCAUUUUUUAAUGGACAGGGUAGUAUUGUUUCUUUGUUCCAGGAACACAGCCACACAGGCAUAGGAUCAUUUCGAAAAAAGUUUUUUUUUAAAAAAAAAUACCCAUCGUCGUGAGACAGACAAGACUUGCCCGGGUUCGGGCACGGAACUGAUCCGGCACCUGAUGCUUGUUUGAAAGCCCGAAGGCGCUGACCGUUGGAGACUUGUGAGUUCUGAGACGCAUCGUAGGCCUUGUUUAGUUCAUAAAAAAACAUUAAAUUUUUUGUCGUAUGCAUGAAGCAUUAAAUAUAAACGAAAAUAAAAAACUAAUGAGAUGAAUAUUUUAAGUUUAGUUACUCUGUGAUUAGACAAUGUUUGUCAAAUAAAAACGAAAUGCUACAGUACCAAAAACAAAAAAUUUUGCCAAGUAAACAAGGCCGUAGCCUGCCGCUCGCCGACGACCAAACCUGUUGCGAGCUGCGAUGGCGGAGGGGGCCGGGGCCGAGCGCGUCCGGCACCGCCGCGCGCGCAUCAAUGCCCGCGCCCGGUGAACGGUGAUUAUGGCCGCACGGCGGUCGGUUGGCCCGGCCUUGUCGAACAGCUAGCUCUCGAUCGGUACCGAUGCGACGAGUAGCUUCCGCGCGAUCACUGCGCGUCCGCCGGUUAGGCUGGUCCAGAAAAAAAAGGGACAUCGUUUUUAUUGACUCCAAUUAUGAGGAGCUGCCUAUUGAUUCCGGCCGAGUAGCCGAUGACCGACCGAGCAGGCCCCCCUGCAUGCCACCGACAAUGCGAUCGAGUCGCCAAUCCCAGAGUAGUCCCAGCUCAUUUUUUUCUGAAAUUGUUGCUUCCAUCCAUGCGCGCCACAUGUACGUACUAGUACACAAGUCGGUGGCUGUGCACAAGCACAGUGCGGUUGCGUUCGGACAUCAACAACGUGUCUCGCGGACCAUGCGUCGAAUUGGCGGCACUCCUUUAGUUUGUUGAAUGGCUAAUAAUUCAUUGAAAGUAGCAGCGGUAAUCGCCGGUGGCAUGGAGAUCGCGAAUCGAUCGAACGAUCGUUGGAGGCGUAGGCAUAUGCAGUACAGUAUACAGUAUGACGUCGUCACAGGCGGCUAAUGAUCACAACGGGGGUAGUAGUUAGCAAAUGAUUAGUAAAGAUGGCUUUGCUUUCCUUGCAAUGCAUGCAAGAGAUCAGCGCCCCUCGGCAUCUCCAUGCAUGUUUUGCACACGCUGCAGGUCGUUACACGUAUCAAAAAGGGCAAAUCAUCAAAUCUAAAUAAAGGCUGAUGGGAAAGAAAACCACGCACCACCGCCGGCGGCGAUCGAGGCUCGCGCGCAUCGCAGGCAAGCGCAGGUGCGCCGGCGGCGGUGCACCUGUUAGCACUAAUGCGCGGCUCGCUAAUCAUUGUACCACAGAUAUGAAUCGAGGUGAGCCCUCGCGCGACCAAACGAGGAGCUAGCUGCCUUAAGUUUAAGAGCUAGGAGCUGCCGAUCCAGGCUGUCCGUGGAGACUCCUGGGCCACCAUCUGGUUUGCGAGUCCCUUUCAGGUACAAGGCCGCCGUGCAACAACGGUAGGAGCGAUCGAGGCUCAGUGGGUGGCUAGACAAGGUUAAUUAAAUUAAAUCUCUGUAGCCUGUUGUACCCUGUAGGGACUCUGGCAUUACCUUUAACUUUUCCCCCGACGCUCUGCAGUUACUGGGAGCUCAAACUAUUUUCCUUCUCUGCAGGCAAUGCGUGUUCCAUCAGUAAGAACACAACAGGAGUACAGGACGGUGUACGUGCUGGGUUGGGUGUGAUUGCACUGUACUGGUUGCUUUCGGCUCUGAGUAACGUAACGGGAUUUGUGCUGAUUGCUCUUCACUGGACACUUUAGAAACCGAAGUGCACGCAUCAUGCAGAGUUUCAGAUUUUCAGAAGCAUAGUGAUUCAUCCAUUCACACAAAUUCUUCACCUGCGGGUUCCCUCUCUUUCAAGUAUCGAUCCGCAAGCAAUUAAUGUACAUUGUUAGUACUGUUUAACAAAGAAGAUACUGUGACAACAAACUAGAAAUGCGACCACACCUACGUAAGUAGAUCUCGACCGGCGCACCUGUACUGAAAGGUGCGGUUUUGUCUACGAAAUCUGUACGUAUACGCAUGCAUGGCUGGAUGAUAACUAUCCCUCCCUCGUACCGAACCGAUACUCGCCGCGUGUACGUACGAAAUCACUGUCCACAUCAUCAUCAUCAUCACAAACUGGCCCCACACACUGACCUGUAAAGAUGGCUCAUUUUUUUUCCUUCCCUUCCAUGGGGCCUUCGCUGUCAGCUCAGGUUCACCGUUCAGUUUUAACACGCACGAUCAGGAGAGAGCACGCUAUAUAUAGCGGCGCAUCGUCACUGGAGCUCUCUCACUGCACUCCACGCUGCUCAGGUCGGGAAACACAGCACAGAGCGCGGGGCAACACCGCAGCAACAGGGAGGAACGAAAGCUUCUGCGCCGAUCGACCGAGAAGACAAGAGGGAGCCGGCCAGCCACCAGAAGGAGAACGAGUUCGGGAGGAGGGAGCGGACGGAUGGCAAUGGCUCUGCUCCCGCUACUGCUCUCGCUCCUCAUCGUCUCCUGCGCCGCGCAGUCGCCGGCCUCCUCGCCGUCCGCGUCCAAGGCUCCUCCGGUCGUCAGCGCCUCGGCGCCGCGGGCCUUUCUCGCGCCACCGACAAAGGCGGUCUCGGCACCGCAGGCCUCUGUAGCACCACCGACAACGGCGGUCUCGGCGCCGCAGGCCUCGGUCGCGGCACCGACAACGGCGGCCGCGGCACCGCAGGCCUCUGUAGCACCACCGACAACGGCGGUCUCGGCGCCGCAGGCCUCGGUCGCGGCACCGACAACGGCGGCCGCGGCGCCGCAGGCCUCUGCACAGCCGCCAACAACAACAGUUGCCGCGUCACCGACACAAGCAGCCUCCGCGCCUCAGGUCUCCGCCGUGGCGCCGACAACUGCAGCCUCCGCGCCGCAGGUCUCUGCCGCGGCGCCACAGGCCUCCGCCGCACCUCCUACCUUCGCCGCCGCGCCGCAGACCACAGCCGCCUCCCCACUGCUGGCUGCCACGUUGCCUCCUGCUUCCUCCCCGCCACUAGCUGCUACGGCACCUGUCUCUGCCACCCCUCCAGCCACGCUACCUCCCGUCUCAUCGCCUACCGUCGCCGUCGCCGCGCCAGCCCCGACGACUCCGGCUCCGGUCGCCGCCCCGCCCCUGGCAAUGUCACCAGCGGCGCUUCCUCCGGCCACGUUCCCUCCAGCAACGGCUCCGACGCCAUUUCUCGCUGCCCCGAUCCUGCCUCCCACCGCGCCACCGGUGGCUGCACCCGCGCCGGCCCCCGUGUCUCCGGCUCCGGCUCCAAGCGUCGCCCCGACCCCGUCGCCGACAGAAGCCCCGACGCCGUCGCCCACCGAGGCCCCAACCCCGUCGCCCACGCUGGCGCCGGAGCUGGCGCCUACGCUCGCGCCGUUCAGCUCGGUGUCGGUGAGCCCGUCGCUGGCGCCUGGCCCCGCGCUCGCUGCGGAGGAGGAGUCGGCCGCGCCGAGCUCGCGCACCGGCGUCGCCGCCGCCGCUCUGGUGUCGUCCUUGGUGGCCGCCGGGCUCAUCGUCGUCUUGUUUUAAGUAGAGCUGAGUUUACCGUUGUACGUCCGUACCGUUCCUCGCACGUUCUUGUCCUCCUGUUGUUGUUUUACAUUCUUGCUGUACAACACAUUGAUAAUUUAUUUCUUUCUAUUCAUGUAUGGAUGACGGACUGCCUGCCUGCUGCUUUGUGCUAUCUUUUGCAUUGCGGGGAAGAAGCCUUUGCGUUGCAUGAACAUACUCUCAUGCGUGAGCGUGACACGCAUCAGUCUUUGUGCCUUGUCGCUAGUAAAAAAAAAACGCGUCUCAUGCUGCGGCUUUGUAGGCUUUGCUGUCACGUAAACGGACGUGAAGAAGCCUAAUAUAGGUCUUGUACUUCAAAAAAAUUUACAAAACUUAAUAAAAUUUUUCAUCACAUCGAAUUUUAUAAUACGAACAUUAAAUAUAGAUAAGAAAAAAUAACUAAUUGUAUUAACUGUAAUUUGUGAAACAAAUUUUUUAAACUUAGUUUAUAAUUAGAUAGUAUUUACUAAAUAGAAACGUUGCAACUAAACAAAGCCAUAUAGGUAGAUGCAGGCGAAGACGAAUAAGAAGUUUCCGUGACCAGCUGUAAGUGUAACAGUACGGCACUGACGAUGGUAGAUCCGGGUGCUCUCUUGCCGACAGUUUUUAGGAGUCAAGACAGGAACUUGUAGCGGUACCGACAGAAGUGACAGGAAACGCGACGCACGUACUACAACGCAGCCGUGCAUGCGCCAAAUCGCAGAAGCAUGUGAGACUCUCGGCACCACGAGGGACGAGGAUCCGUAGGGACACUGCUGCCGCGUCGUCCACCGGGUGGGUGGCCAGGGGCCAGGCGCGGGCCGUGGCCGCUGCUCCCAAAAGGUGACGAAACGGAGCGAGCCCAAUGAUACAUCCUCAAAUCAUUCAUCCACCACCCACCGUUUUGUUCGCGUUUGACAUUUGUUAGCCUGACUGACACACCGUGCAGGUGCAGCGCGUGACGGGUAAGCACUCCAUGCUCCACUACGCCACCGAGAGAGAAAAAGAAAAAAGCCACUAAUUCGCCGAGGGAACCGUCAGCAUGACACGGCGAAGGCAUGGCGUCGGUUGAGGGAGGAGGCAGAGAGAGAGAGAGAGUGGGGAAACAGAGCAAUGAGGUGGUAGGCUGCCAGUGCACCAUCAUCUUCUUACUGGCACCGCGUGGUCGAGCUCGCUCGAUCGCUGCUGGCGGUCGCAGGUAGUGCACUCGAGAUCGACUUGCCCUGUGAAUCCUACUGUGGUGGCUCUGUCGCGAGCGCGUGGGGCGGGGGCGCCGCGGCGAAACAUGCGCCGGUCGCGCGGUCGGUCGUGUGUUGCUUGGCGCUGGCAUGGUUGUGAGAGGGCAUCGUCGUAUCGAAUGUGUAUGAACCAUAUGAGCAGCUGCCAGCUGGGACUGGUGAGCGACGGAUCCACCACGUACCGGCAUGUACUGUACCGUCUCUGUACGUGUGAUCGUUGGGAGAUGGACCCCGAGUCACCUGCUGCCGAUGACGAGGCGUACGGGGGUACUAGCGCUUCGUGUCUCGUCUGCCAUGCUCGGCGGCCCCGGUCCCCGGUCCUGUUGCCGCCGUGUGCGCGGUUUGGCGUUUUACACGGUUGGUUGCCGAUGCGGCCACCGGCCAGCAGCCUGCUCCUCCCAAGUGGUCAUGCGGUUCAUCUACGUGAACUACAUACGUCCGCCGUUCGUCCGGGCGCUGACUGAAGUUCAAGGAAGUAGUAGGGAUGAACCGCCAAAUAUUCAAAAUUGAGGGUUUAGGUAAUUUUGCCUACAAUAAGUCUUAACUCUUAAAGCUUAAUAAAAAUCAAAGUCAAAACACCUCUUCCUCAACAAUCUUCAUACAAUCAGAGCCGCUGCUAAUACGAGCAGCCAGGUCACCAGCAAGGGGCCUACCGUAGCUCGGUGGGACCCGCCGAGCACGAGGUAGGGGAUGCCCGCGUCGUCGUCGGUGGUAGGAGGCCCAAGGGUGGCCCCGGAGCCCGUCUGCGGCGGCGACUGCGGCGGGGCGCCCGCCGGAGCUCCUCCUCCCGCCGCCGGCUGGUUGACCAGCACGUGCAGCUUCAUCCCGCCCAGGCAGUGCAGCUGGUUGCCGCAGAUGAAGUACCGGUCGCCGGCCGCCGCCAGCGGCACCGUCGUGUUGCCGUCGUUCUGGGACAGGACCGCGUCCGCGGCGCUGCAGUUGUUGUACCCGGCCUCGUCGACUUCGUCCAGCGUGUGGUAGCUGGAGUACUGAAACACUGCAUCAUAUCAUAUCAAGGGGAACCAACGCACUUGUAAGCAAAUUAACGUGUGAUCUUGUGUGUUGCAUUACAUAUAACCAGUCAAACACGUAUGGAUUUAUGCGUCUUGCAGCACGACCCCCGACCAGGGACGUCGUCUGCUUUUGUUCCCGGUCGAUCGAACGGUGAAACAAAACCUGAACCGCGACACGUUUGGCUCUUGUGUACACGAGACAGAGCAGGGGUAUGAUGAUGAUGAUGUUGCCAGCCAAGGUUCGUACGUACCUAGAACGUCGCCGACGUAGAAGGUUUUGCCGCCGGCCCACGACGGCAAGUCGGCGCUGGGAUCCCACCCGGCGCUGUUGCCGACGUUGUAGGAGACCGCCUCGGCUCUCGGUGCCACGCCGGCGACGAGGAGCAGGGCGCACAACAGAGCCAGAGCGACGCGAGCUUGAGCCAUGGUAUGGUCUCUGUGCAGUGCAGGGAUCCAAAGGUUAUCCAUGCGUGCCAAAAAAAGCCGGGAUAUAUACGAGAACGGCAGUUCUUGGUGAAGAUUGGUUACCUAAUCAGCUAAUUUUUUCAAGCGCGUUAACCAGCAGCUGCUGUGCUCGGAUGCUUCAUGGUUGCACGCGAGCGAAGCGGCACAAGUCAACGGCUGGCAGGGCUCCAAUUGGGAAGGUGAAGCGGUCUUCUACUCGUCGUUUUUUUUUACGAUGGUUUUGAUGAUUUGAAUAGGUGAUGCCGGUGAGGAAACUGGGUGUGUUUGUUGAGGUUUGGUGGUGCAUUCUUGCGUGCCGUUGGGUACUAGGUAUUGGCGGUUAAGCAGCCUUGCUCCCCCUCCAAACCUUUUGUGUGGAGAGGUGAUGUCAUUCUCAUGUCAUUUUGUGUUCGGUGUUCCUCGCGUGAGCACAAAGUCUCCUUCGUGCUUGUGCUCGAUUGAGAUUGGCUGUGAAUCCAAUCCGGGUUGGAUCGAGCUCGGUAAAAUCUUUGUUUGAGCAGCAGCGGCAUGUGUAAAGAACAGAGUCUGCUUAUUGUUUUCUACUCUCUGUUUUAAAUUGAAAUAUUUUAUUUUUUAAUAAUAAUUUACGUAUACAUAUUGUAUAUCUAAGUGUAUAUUAAAAAAAAUAUACUCUCUCCGUUCUAAGUUAUAAGAUAUUUCAAGAAUUUUAGAGUGUUAGUUUAGUCAAAAUUAUAUGAUAAAAUAAUAAUAUUUAUUAUACCAACUAAGUAUUAUUAGAUUCUUUAUGAAGUUUUAUUCUCAUCAGUACAAGAGACAACAGAACUGUAUCACGAGUAGCCAAAAAAAUCAUAACAAAAAUACAGAUACACAAACCCAGCACUCUUUGGACGUACUACAGUAUUAGCCUACUAUGGUAGUAGUGGGGUAGUAGAGCAUAAAGCGGAUCACACAUGUGCAGGUCGGAGCCCCGGGGGACGCAACGCAACGCAACGCAACGCAAGCAGAGAGAACGCACGAAACCAAAUAGGAAAUUCAUGUCGUCAAAAAAAUAAAAAAAAGAGAGGAAAUUCAUGAAACCGCACUGCCUUUUCCCUAGCGGAUCCUGAAUUCAGCCCAUCAUCAUGAGGGCAGCGAGGCCCACGGCCGCGAACAGCAGGCCCGUCGCGAGGCGAGCCCCUGUGCCAGUGCCAGCCGCGCUCGAGUCCGAGUCCGACUCGCCCGCAGCCGCAGCGUCGUCCGUCGCCGCCGCGCCACCAGACGCCGGCGUCGUGUUCGUCGCCCGCAUGGCGGGACCCGACGUCGUCGCGGCGCUGCCGCUGCUAGUGCCGCCGGAGACGGUGAUGGCGAGCUUCAUCCCCGAGGCGCAGUGGCCCGGGGCGCCGCAGAUGAAGUAGCGGGUGCCGGCCUUGGUGAGCGGCACGGUGGUGCUCUGGCCGUCCCGGUGCGACCGCAGCGGGUUGCUCGCCGAGCACGCGCUGUGGUCCGCCUCGCUCACCUCCAGCACCGAGUGCGACGAGCUGUACUGGAACGCUGCAAUGCGAAAUCCGGCCAAGCCGCGCGUGGUUACUAGUGCUCGUUUCGUUCAUGCGCCGGCCACGUACUGCCUACUGACAUUACGAGAGAACAUAUAUGCUGCAUUGACAGUAUUGGCGAUCGACUACUGUAUGAAUCUGAUGGCGAGCUUUAUUUGGCACGUACAGAUCGUGUCGCCGAUGGCGAACGGCUUGCCCUUGGCCCAGGCAGUGUAGUCCACUCCGGGUUUCCACCCGGACGAGUCGCCGACGGUGUAGUCUUUCGCGGACGCCGGCACGACGGCGGCGGCGGCGACGAGGAGGACGAUGGCCAUCAGAAGCAUGCCGCGCAGAGAGCCGGCCAUUUCUCCUAGCGCGCGAGAUCGAUGCUGGCGGAGUAUCGAAGCAGAGACGACGCCAAAGAUUGUAGGAGAGAGUGAGGUGAGUCAGGAAAGGCGUUCGAGAAAAAAGGUGAGUCGGGAAAGUGAUCAAUGGACAAGGCUGUUUAGGCGUUGAGAACGGUUCUCUUAUAUAUAUAGGCCAAUCGGUGAUCAUCAGGCGUUGUUUAAUUUUUUUUUUGUCUCCGUGAGAUAUAUGGAUAUUUCGUUGGUUAUUAGGCCUUGUUUACAUGUCUUUAAAAAUCCAAAAGUUUAUAAAUUUUUUCAUUAUAUUAAAUUUUUAGACGCAUGCUGCUACAAUAACUAGAUCCAAAAAAACUUUCAAAUAAAAGUACAAACAAAAGUGCUACGGUAUCUAAAUUCAAAAUUUUUAAAAAUGUAAAUAAGAUCUUAAUACGGUAGUAGUGGUGGUGGCGGAGGGUGGCCGAAUUUCGUUAAUUACGUACCGGCAUGUCGUGUCACUUUAGUCUUCGCACAGAUGCGUACGACGAAGGUAUUUAGUGGCUUCCUUUGCCCCAGGGAAAAGAGAAGAAAUAAGAGCCUGGAAAUGAUUAAUGUAUACACCUAAUACAAAGGUGCACCACCGUAUAAGUACUUAUUAGUAGUAAAUAGACGAUGAUGGCUGAACAAAGCCAAUAAUUUGUCUACUACCGAGUUAUUAUUUUUUUGGUAGAGCAUCGCCAUUGAAUGAGUUGCUUUGCUUAUUGCACAGAGAACAUGGACAGCAACCUGGAACCAUUACCGUGGGCAUUGCAACGGUCAGGGAAUGGAAAAUUCACGGAAAAUAGUUUUUUUUCUCUUGAAUGAAUAUAUAGUUACAUGCGAUGCAGUUUUUUUUGCCCUUAAGGGCAUAUGCUCCCACUCUCUCCACCACUGAAUUCGAAUUUAGAAGUGUGCAAACACACAUUUCAAAGCAGAUUCACAUUGAGAUGUGUGUUUGCACACUUCUCAAUGUAAAUCCAGUGGUAGAGAGAGUGGGAGCAUAUGCUCUUGAGGGCAAAAAUAACUUUUCCUAGUUAUAUGCGAUAAAAGGGCGAUUCUUGCACCAGCACUACAACUGUUACAUUUUUGCUGUGCAAUUGUGCAUUUGGUUAGAACGAGUUGGAUGAAAUUUGUCACCAUUUGACAUCCGUUACGUGGGACCUGCAUGUCAUCCUCUCUCACCUGCAUGACCUUUCUAGUGCCCAAGGACCAAAGCUAUAGUACCAGACUCAGGUUUGCCAUCCGAUUGAACAAACGUGGCAGUUCGUGUGUGUGACCAUGCAAAAAUAUUCACCUUAACAAAUGGAAAGUUAAUGCAAUAGCUGAGCCGAAGCACUCCGCUCUCUCGAGAGGCCCCUCAUCAUGCAGCUCGCUACUACCAGAUGGACAUCCUAGGCCACACCAUGACAAAAUUCGCAACAAGAUUUCAACGAAGUCAAGGAUCUACAGACUAAACUCCUCUAUCUGAGUGGUCUCAUAUAGACAACGCAUCGCUUUCCUUUUGCGAUGAUAAUACUUGACGAUGCAACAAAAACAAUAGCCAUUCCAGCAAACUGAAAAGCAUAGUGCAACAAGCCCAAGACCAUCCAGAAAAUGCAACAAAUAAAAAAUAGUGCUGCAGGCGUACAAGUAGUAUGCAAUACACAUGCAACUGAAAUGAUCUCGCGCCAGGCAAAGUAGAUAUCCCUAGCUAUAUUCAAAUCAACAAGCAAGCAACUCCAUCGUCCACCGAAACAAAUCAAAUCAUAAAGUACAGAGGAACUCCUUAUUAAAAAAGUGUAGAGAGAAAGAUGAUGGAUGCUAUGAAAUCAGAUCGGACCCUCCAAACAUGAUUUUUUUUUCAAGUAAUCCACCAUGCUCCGACUCUAUAAAAGAUGGCCAGGGCGCUAAUUUACAGGUGGUGUAGUCUCUUCUGAGAUAUUGGAUAAAACUUGCAGGUGUAAGGAAGGAGAUAACUGCUUAGGUUAAUAGCUCCUAUUUCCUACUAACACCGUACCAUUGCGUUUUGGAUGUGUUGACAGUUAAAAUUAGCUUGAUUGAAUUUUGUUGUGUGAGCGUCGAAUGAUCCGGACCUAGACUGCAGUCACCGAACUAUGUGCCGCUAAGAAUAUUGUGAAAGGCCAAGGAAAAAGGUUCAUGCAUGGCCAUUUUUUAAGAACAUCAUUUUUUAGGUAAGGAAUAAAGUUCCAGCCUCUAUAUCAUCCAUAAAUGGUACAUAGCUGAGGUGAGUCAAUACAAACCGGAGCCACUAGGGUCAAAAUAUUACAUCCAAGAGUUUUUUGACAAAAACUGGAGGGGUUUGCACCCCUACAGAACUUUAUUGACUGAAACACAAAAGUACAAGAAAAGCGGUAGAACAAAGAGGAAGAGUGUUGAUGUUUUCUUAUUUUAGAUAAUUUUUAGCUUAGAACCAUUUCCACCAGGAGGCUAGGCUUUCAGCAUAAAGCGGAUGUAACGCUCUAGAGUCCAAACGGGUCAGAUGUAGUCUGCAUGAUGAGUGAACUAUAUAUCACCACUAAGUCAUUUAUCCUUUUAUUCUCGCUUCACGCAAAAGAGUUAACCCAGGAUGGUGCCCUGUACUUUAGAAAUCUUAUAUAUUGAUGUAACCCACCUCUAACAACUAAGGUAGGAUUAAACUCACAUAACCCCACAUUAAUAUACACAUGGCUCGCUAUGGGUCAAAUCUAACUGAGACGGUGUCAUACUAUAUUUGUCCUAUUUAUUUGUGGAAGUAGGGAUAAUCUUGUCACCACACCAUACGGGGAACAAAGUUGUAAGGCCCUAAUUGCUUCAAAGCUUCCACACCAUUGAUUGUGUUCAUUACAAACUUUUUUCACGAGUUGCAUCUCGUAUAACUGAGUUUGUUUGCUUAUCUGAAAAGUCAUGACUGAAAGUACUAUUUGUUAAUUUAUUAUAAGAAAAAAACACUACUAAAUGACUGACAAAUUCGAUAAAUAAGCUUAACGAACAAGACCAGUACAUUGCUAACGAACGGUUCACAAAGGAACUUCUGGAUCACUGUGAAAAAAGUCACAGCUUCAUAGUGGUCCGAGUCCCAUCUUCACAGGCCUAUAUUUUUUUUUUGAAGUACAGCCACAGCACUCUUCACUGAAGAAGUGACGACGCAUCAUGCAACUAUAGAACAGCAGCAGCAAGGCACUUCGAAAUUACAUGUAGUUCGGCACUGUCACGCUGAUCAAGAGCUGGGCACCACCAGCAGGCAUCACGACCACGAGCCCCUCGUCGGCACUCGAUGAGAUGGAGUAGGACACGUGCACGGGCUUGCUCCCCUCCAGCGCCAGGUCCUCGAGACCGGCCUCGCUCCACUGCGCGACCCUCGCCGCGAGUCCGUGUCCAUGCCCAUGGCAGGCCUCGCGAUCACCGUAACCCACCGUGCCGCAGCAGGUCUGGACGUGCAGCCCUUUCGAGCUGUCGCGGGCCAUGACCGUGAACCGCGGGGGCUGCUUGGCGCCGCCGAGCCUCUUGCUGGCCAUGCCGACGCAGGCCGCGGCGAGCGCGCGGUGGUCGGAGGUCGUGUCGGGAGCCCCGAAGAGCACGGUCGUCGUCGUCGUCGUGCUGUCGUCGGCAGCGGUGGUCGCAAUGCCCAGCGUGGAAGUGCCGGACUUGACGCGCUUGGCGGCGCCUGGGCUCUGGAUGUAGUGCGUGUACUGGAUCACCGGGUGGGCGACGUGCUUGCUUUGCGCUUGCAUCUCCGCGUUCUUGCGAGCCCACGACUUGAGGAAGCCGAUGAGGGACAGCGGGUCGGCGAGCAGCAGGCUGCAGCUGACGCCGACGGCGUAGCCGCCGUCCGAGAAUCGUGUCAGCUGCAAAAGAAUUAAAACAGGAAAUAUAUUGUUACAUCUAGUUGCGACUUCACUGACUUGUGAGUAGUUAUUACUUGUGACCGAUGACUGUGCCUGCAUGAACAACGGGGCGCAGAUGUCGGGCUCGUGCACGUCCACGUCGGUCCACAGCGCCAGCGCGGCCUCCUUCCGUUCCCGGUCGACGCCCCUGGCCUCCAGGAACUCCGCCAUGGUGGCCUCCACCGAGGCCUGGACCAGCCGCACGCCGGUGUCCCUGAGCUUCACCUCCCAGAGGCGCCCGUCGUCGUCGUCGUCGUUGCCGCCGUCGCCACGGCGGCGCAGCCGCCCUGCCAUCUCCGGGUGGUCGACCAGCGCCGCGCAGAGCGACUCCUUCACCCACGCCGCACGCUCCCUCGCCGCGGCCUCCGCCUCUGCGCCCGCGCCGCGGUAGUAGAGCACGGCGCGGAAGCGGCGCUGCAGCUCCGCGGCGGUGAGCGGCGGCCCGGACACCGCGAUGGGCAGUGACUUCCCCGCCCCGGCCAUGCGCAUCGGGACGGCGGUCUGGAGGGACUCGACGUGGAUAAGCAUUGGCGCCGUUGCGGCCAUUUUGGCGUGCUCCUAGCUGCCUCUGGCCGGCAGAAAGAAUAGGAAGUUCUUGGCCGGAACUACAAGUAUAUGGUGCGUAUUGGAGCCCUGGAACAGGCUCACUUUUAUAUACGGAGUACGUGCCAAUACAAUUCCCAAUGCUUUUUUUUUUUGCGGGCAUGCAAUUUUCUUUCAAAUUUGUAAAAUUUCUUGGAUGGAUACUUCAGUACCGAUUAUUGUAGAUAGUUGGUGUGGCUAAUUCAGUGUAGAUUUUGUUAGGCGCUUCAUAUCACUAUCACUUGGGAGUUGGUAGAAAAUGUAAAAGGUUCAGACACGUUCUUGCUUGUUUGGACGAUGUAGCUGGGUUUUGGCUAGCUACUCUUGGCAAAUUGAUGGUUUAUUAUUAAUGCCGAGGCGGUUCAGGUCACACAUAUGGUACGUGCUUAUUUCUAGAAGUUAGUUGCAGAAUUUGUUUGCCUACUUUGAGCUUUUCAUGACAAAGUGCUUGCUCUUGAGACGGACAUCCUUCCAUUCAAAAAGGGCAAAACAAGGCAGCAAACAGGGCUACCAAUCACAGAAGCAGCGAGCCUAUGAAAGUGUAUGAGCUAGUAUGAAGUAAUGAAUCACGAGAUAAUAAAUCUCAAGUAAAGUGUAAAGAUAGGCUAACAGCACAUAAAAUUUAGAAACAGUCUCAAAAGGUCUCUUUUUCACUGGAAGCGUUAGAGAAAAAUCUGACAUCACAAUUCACAAGAGCAUUUGUAGUGCAGAAUUGGAGAGAGCAAACAUUAUUACAGGCCGAUGCCUUCCUUGCUUUGCAGAGAUUGCAGAAUUGUAAAAGGUGUUCUAGUGCUAUGCACUAUGCAGAUGUGCAGCUAAACUAAUCCAAUGCCCAAAGCCAAAAGAUUACCCACGAACUGUAUUACUCUUCACUUGCUGAAUCGGUUGGUGUGCUGCAGAGAAACAGAACAUGGACUGUUGUCAGAAUCAAUGAAGUUGUCACAUAUAAUCAAUAGAACAAAACGAAUUCCAAACAUGUCUCAAACGUCUCCUGAACUUCUCAUGCUCAUCAUGUCUAAACAGAGAGUAUAUGAUGGGCGUAUAUACAGUUCUGAAUCCUUGAGUAAAAAAAUAGCCAUUCUUAAUGGAAACAUAAACAGAAGCAAGCAGCCAAAGGAAAGAUAUCUAGUGAACCAUUAGAGGCAGCAAUUUUUUCAAGUGACCGGUAAAUACUACCAACCGAGGUAACCUUCAGGUUCAAGUUUAUACUACAGGACUAACAGGAGGAAUAAAUGUGCAAAAGAACAAGCAAGCUCUAUUGUAAUUUGGGGUCAGUAAGAAUAUGUAUGUAGAACAAUCUGAUAUACUAGCAACAUGAAGGAAAUAAAGAUCAACAUAGGCAAGCCUUGAUUAAACAUGCUGGUAGUCACAGUUCGUCGACUCUGCUCAACUAUACCAUUGUCCACUACUUCAGUGUUUGCAGUUUGCAAAACCAUGAAAUGACACAUGUAUUGUCUACUACUUCAGUGUUUACACAAUGAAGAUGACCACAACAACAACAACAACAACAACAACAAUUCUGUGAUACUGUGGAAGAAAUAACUGUGCCAAAGAAUACGACAGAUUGCGCUCUGAUCUGAGCAAUAAGUACAUGCAGGGUGAUCUGAUAUAGUGGUCUGAUGAAUAGAAAGAAAUGACGACCAAUAAACCCAAUUGUUUCUAGAAAGAAAAGAUACAAGAGGCCAACACUCCAUGUGACAACGCUUCUAGUCGAAAGUCAUUAGAACAAUAUCAAAUUGUGUGUGCACUGGAUUGUACUAGCAAGUGACUGGAUAAAGACAGGCAGAAAUAAUCAGAUCAGGGCCUCAGGGGCGACCAGAGUGUGUGUGUGUGUGUGUGUGUGUGUGUGUGUGUGUGUGUUAUGGUUCAUUAUCCUCAUUCCCCAAUAGUGUACAGCAAUUUUCACCAUAUAAAAUUCAGUAUAACUAUUAAGUUUGUCCCCACCCCCACCCAAAUGGAUCUGGAAGGAAAUGAAGCACAAUGAACAGUAAUGUCUAUGCUUCUAAAACUCUUCCAUUUCACAUGUUGCUAACCACUAACAAUCGAGUAGUUAAGCUCAAUUACCGCCAACUGCAACAUUUAUAUUCACUGAUUCGAAGUUUUACAGUAACUUAGUAUAGGUAGACCAAAUAACCAUGUCAUGGUGCACAGAAAUACAUAGCAAUCUACAGAGUUCCCCUCCCCAUUUUCUCCAAUCUCCACGGCUCGUCCACAAAUUGAAGAUACCACACCAAUGCGAAAGGAAACAGCUAGGAACACAUUACCACUACAAAUGACGGAUCAACAACACAGGGCUCUAGUGACAAUCCACAAAUGAAUCCAACUAUCGAGCAAACGGAGACCCACAACAGUAAUUAAACAUACAGAGCAUUGAGCAGGAUCACAGACCUUACUGCCCUCCUACACCUCGUCCUCCCAGUCAUCAUCGCUGUCGAAAUCACCAAAUGCAGCCUCCUCACUGCAACAAAAAUUCAGAUAAAACAGAUUGCAAUGCAACAUCACCAACAACGCUAGAACCCCUCGAUCAUGAACACAAACCAGCACAAAUCGAAAGCAAGUGGUGCGCGCUCACCAUUGCUGCAUGUAGUCCGCGCUGCUGCUCCCGACGAGGCGGAGGGUGCGCUUCCCCUCGUUCUUCCUGUACCCGGACAUCGCAAGCGAAGCACCACAGAUCAAAACCAUCAAAACCACCAAAAUAAUCCCCACAAAAUUCACCGUCGCGCGUGCGUUUCAAUUUCCAACCAACACGAGGAAACAAGGAGAGCAGAGCAACGAGAGAGGAACCUGUGGCGUGUGCGGCGGCCAACGAGGGGGCGGCGGUCGAAGGGGGACUUGAAGCGGGUGUAGCGGAGUUCAUCGUCGUAGUAGUAGUCGUAGUCCACCGCCUUGUCCAUCUUCGCGAGGUAGCGCUUGACGUUCUUCACAGCGUAGCCGCCUCCCCCUCUCGCCUCGGACCAGGGGAUCCCGCGCGGGUGGAAACCCUGGGCGACCUCCAGGAAACGGGGGCUCCCGUACCCCCCUGUAGCAGCGAUUGCAGGCAACAAACUGAAAUGCGUGAGUAACAAAUCAACCAAGCAAAAUCCACGAGAAAUCAAACGAAACAGUCAAACCAAAUCCCCGAUAAAGGAGCAAAAAAACCAAAUCCGCGAGUCCGCGAGAAACGAAACAACCAAAUCGAAACGAAAGCACAUUAUGAUGAUCGGAGACGAUCGAGCAGCCGGCAGCGUACUUACAUCUAUAGUACAGCACCAUGGGUGAGGGGAGGAGCGGACUAGGUGCGGAAAACCUAGCCUUCAGAUGCUGGCAAGCCGAAGGCCGAGACGAUGGGUGCGGAAUUGGUCGGCGAGGUGGAAUGGAACGGGAUGCAAGGCGGCGGAGGGGGAGGGGGUUUUAUAGCAGGCGCAGUGCUCUGUUCUGUGUGUGUGUUUGCGGAUGCAGGGGGCAGGAGGAGGUGACGUGGCCUGUACGGAGCAAGAAGACACGGGCUCUCUUGGGGCGUUCUUUCUUCUGAAACAAGACAGAGGAAUACGCGGGAACUUAAGUUGGCAAAUAUUUUGUUGGCUACAAAAUUUAGGCCUUGUUUACUUGUUUAGUGCAUGAAUUUUUUAGGUGUGUAGCACUUUUCGUUUAUAUUUAGCAAUUAUUGUCCAACUAUGGGCUAAUUAGACUUAAAGAUUCGUCUCAUAAAUUACAAGUAAAUUAUGCAAUUAGUUAUUUUUUAUUUAUAUUUAAUGUUCCAUGCAUUCAUCUAAAUAUUCGAUGUGAUGAAGAAUUUUGGAUUUUUUUAGAACUAAAGGCCUUAACAAGAUUCUAUUGAGCAGUAUGUCAUCGAGUAAAAAUGUAUGGCAAGAUUAAUUAGUCAUAGAACAUUGUAAUCGUGAAGCAAAUGGUGUAGCCCAUGAAUUAGCUAGAGUUGCGCUUCAGGAGAAGCUCACAUGUAAUUGGGUCGAUGAACCCCCUAGGUUUCUGCUAGGAGCUUUGGCGAACGAUGUAACUGUCUUGCAAAAUCAAUAAAGUGCGCCAAAUGGCUUUCUCAAAAAAAAAAAACUGUAGCUCUAAAAUUUCUAACCAUAUCUUUUUUAUGUUUUUUUGCACCAGUAUUGCUAGCAUCCAAACGUCCGAUCUGAACGCUAGCGUCAAAGAUGCCAAGCCAUUGUACAAAUAUUGCCCCCACCUGCCCCUCACGGAGAAAGAAAAAAAGAGAAAAGAGUAGAUAUACUCCACCUGCCCCCACACAAAGAUGAAAGAAACUGCCUCCGCUCUCCACACGUACGAGAUCCGCCCGCCCCCAACCUCAUCGUCCCCAGCACCUCCACCCUGCCGCAAGCUCACUCCCACAACCCACCCCAGCCCCCUCCCUCGCUUGGCGCUGCAACAAUAGGAUGAAACGACUGAAACAACAUGAACAUGUUAUUGCAACAACACUGAACAAACUAUUACGACAAAUAAGUUAAACCAGUUGAAACACCAUGAACAUGUUAUGCAAUAACACCGAACAAAGUGCUUCAACAAAUAAGUUGAACCAGUUGAAACACCACGAACAUGUUAUUGCAACAACACCGAACAAACUGCUGUAACAACAUGGAACACCUCCUGCAACACAUCUCAAAGAAGCGAUACUACUACAACAUUGGGAUAAAGAAGUUAAAACUGUAAGAAACAUAUUAUUGCAACAACAAAAGAACUACUACGUAGCCCCGGGAUAAGGGAAAGUAGGGAGGCACAUGGGUUGGGGGCGCCGUCGGAGGUGUAGAUUGAGCCGCCUCCAUGGAUGGGAUGGAGGAUGGGCCGCCAUCGCCUAUUGGGUGGAGGAGACCACCACGCUACUAGAUUUGCAUCGUGCUCCAUGGAUCCACCAUGGGAAGACCAAUACUCCAUGGAUCCACCACGGGAAGGCCACCAUGGCCGAUGUUGAGGUGAGGGACGACGCGCUAGAGUGGAGGACACACACCAGACUCAAGAUAGGUAGAGGACGCCGCCUCCAUUGAGGAGGGAGAUGGGAGGAAGGCACCACACUGAGUUGAGGUCAGAUUUUCAAGAGAGAGAGAGAGGAGUAAAUGAGAGAGCAAACGGAGGUGGAGUAGGCAAGGAGAGCUAUGCGGUGAAUUUUUUGAGAUGAGUGGAUGGGGAGAACCAUAUGCUGUCGACGAAAGCUGAUCGGCAGUCUACCUUGGGGUAUACCCACGGUAGUAGUUUAUCAGUAGACGGUGCGCAAACUACGAACUCGAUGGUGACGCAAGACACGGACAAGCUUUUUAUCCAGGUUCGGCCGCCGAGUUGGCGUAAUACCUACGUCCUGCGUCUGGUUGUAUUGAUUUGUGUUGAGAGAAUCGUAUGUCCUAGGGGGAUCCCUUGCCUCUCCUUAUAUAGUCUGAAGGGCAGGGUUACAGAUCUGGAAACUAAUCCUAGUCGGUUACAAUUGUCAUAGAUAGUUCGAUAUCAAUUCCUAUUCUAACCGACUAGAAUCCUGCUUGAUCUCCACAUCUUGCUUCCUUGCGCGAAACUCCAGGCUGUCGGAUCAAGCCUUGAACUCGUCUCGUAAUGGGCCAAGCCUCCUGGCCCAAGUCUAGCCGUAAGGGUAUAGGGGUCUAUCCCCCCACAGCUAGUCCCCGAGCACCAUGUAUUGUGAUGUAACACGCCGUCUUGAGCUUCUUCGAUCAGUGAGGCUUGACGUCUUCAAUAAGCAGGAAAGUCGUCCAAACAGUUGCAACAGUAUUUUGACCAACUCAAAAAACAGUUGAUCAACAUUGACAUCGAAGAAGCAGGUUGUUUGAAGAAUGCAUGGUGCUCUAAAUUAAAAAAAAUUUCUUUCCUGGUGAAGUGUGCCCACUUUACUUUUCUGAAAAGUAUAGCUUUUCAAAAAGCAAGCACAUUCACCGCAAGGUGAAGUGUGCCCACUUAGUCCCCGAGCCUGGUAGUAGGUGACGUGGGCACGUGGUGCCAGGGUCAAAAGAAAAGUCCUCAAAGAAAUUCUGAAACUGAGAUGCAUCGUCAGAUGCAUCGUACCGAUGUAGUCCCCGAGCUUGCUGGAAGGCGAAGUAUGAGCCUUGUAGCAAGGUCUAAAAAAUUGAAUUUACCAGUCCGUCUGCAAUUGAAUAGACUAAUCGACCAGUCCCCGGGUGUAUAAUAGUAUGACGACCAGUCCCCAAGCACCAAGUGCGCUCCUUAGAAUUCUGCGUUGCUAUACUGUACGACCAGUCCCCGAGCAUCGAGUGCUCGGUGGUCGGUGCAGUCUUUGAAGUUCCGAGCUGAUAGACUGGGCGACCAGUCCCCGAGCGUCAAGUGCUUGGUGGUCGGUACAGUCCCCGAAUUCUCAAAUUGGUGGGCCGGUCGACCAGUCCCCGAGCGUAUAGUGCUCGGUGGUCGGUACAGUCCCCGAGCACGGCGUAGGGACCGGUGGACAAGUCCCCGAGCGUGGUUGGGAACGUAAACGUGCUCGGUGGUCGGCACAGUCUUCGAGCACAGCAUAGAGAGUAGUCGACAAGUCCCCGAGCGUGGUUGGGAACGUAAACGUGCUCGGUGGUCGGAGCAGUCCCCGGGCACAGCGUAGGGAAUAGUCGACGAGUCUCCGAGCGUAGCUUGUCGACUGGGCCAAACUCCUAAAAAAUAAAUAUAAAGAAUUGGUAGUACAUGAUGUAUAAAUAACCUUUAGAUAGAAAAUCAGUGCUAAGAUAAGUUUUAGAUUUUUUGUUAUAAAAUUAGCACGAGUAGUUAAUUCAUCCUAGAGCUUGUACCAGCUCUGGUCUAGCCAACAAUCAGCAUGAGGUGCGGAACCUAGACACGCGUAGGAUUGUCAGCCACGUCAGAGAGCUAUUGCCGACCACCCGGAACGCAGAGGGCGGAUCUCGUGCACGUGUAGGGAGGAGUCGGAGACAGUAUCGGCUCUGGAAAGCUCGUGUAGGAGAAAAAACUAGUCGGCUAAAAAAGUUGUUUUGAAGAAUAAUAAAAAAUAUUAUGCCAAAAAUAAAUAAGAUAUUAGAAGUGUACUUAUCUUUGGAUGAAAGUCUAGUUAGUGACGACAAAAUUGUCCGGCCUUCGAGCUUUUCGACUUGUCAUGGCGGUGGUCGCUGUUGUCGUAGCGUCGUUCUUCGCGGCGAUUAUUAUUGCGACUGGUGGUCAGAGCAAGUAGGCCAAACAAUUUGGUCGAUGGCCCGAGCAGGUCGGUGUUGUCGAUCUGCCUCCCUUUGUAGCAGGGAAGCGGGUGACGCGUUGUCGGCGUGGUCGGAGACGUUGCUGGAGUAGUCGGAGUCGUAGCCAGCGUGGUUGAAGCCGCCGCCGACGUCGAUGAAGAAGUGGUUGGCGCAGAUCGGAUCUACACCUCCUCCGUGGUCAUGGCGGUGAAGUUGUUGAGGCUGACGGUGAACGUGAAGUCGCCCGCCAUGGCCGCGAAGUCGGGGAUGAUGGCCAUCUUGUUCGUCGGGAGAGCUGUACGCACACCCCCUACCUGGCGCGCCACUGUCGACGAAAGCUGGUCGGCAGUCUACCUUGGGGUAUACCCACGGUAGUAGUUUAUCGGUAGACGGUGCGCAAACUACGAACUCGAUGGUGACGCAAGACUCGGACAAGCUUUUUAUCCAGGUUCGGCCGCCGAGUUGGCGUAAUACCUACGUCCUGCGUCUGGUUGUAUUGAUUUGUGUUGAGAGAAUCGUAUAUCCUAGGGGGUCCCUUGCCUCUCCUUAUAUAGUCUGAAGGGCAGGGUUACAGAUCUGGAAACUAAUCCUAGUCGGUUACAAUUGUCAUAGAUAGUUCGAUAUCAAUUCCUAUUCUAACCGACUAGAAUCCUGCUUGAGAUCUCCACAUCUUGCUUCCUUGCGCGAAACUCCAGGCUGUCGGAUCAAGCCUUGAACUCGUCUCGUAAUGGGCCAAGCCUCCUGACCCAAGUCUAGCCGUAAGGGUAUAGAGGUCUAUCCCCCACAUAUGCGGACGGAGAUAAGUGGAUGAGGAGAGCCGCAAGCAGACGGGAGCGGCAGGAGGCCGGGCGCCACGUCCAAAAACGGCCGAACGUCAGAGUCAAAGCAAGAGUCAAACUGUCAAAGCAUUACCGAAUAAAUAUCAAGUAAGGCGUACAGAUAGGCUAACAACACACGAAAUUGAGAAAGUCUCCAAAAGGUCUCUUUUUUCACUGGAAGCGUUAGAGAAAAAUCUGACAUCACGAAAGCAUUUGCAGUGCAGAAUUGGAGUGAGAAAAAAUUAUUACAGGCCAAUGCCUUCCUUGCUUUGCAGAGAUUUCAGAAUUGUAAAAGGUAGUGCCAUGCACUAUGCAGACGUGCAACUACACUAAUCCAACGCCCAGAGCCACAAGAUUACCACGAACUGUAUUACUCUUCACUUGCUGAUUCGGUUGGUGUGCUGCAAAGAAACAGAGCACGUAUUGUUGUCAGAAUCAUUGAAGUUGUCACGCCCACGUAUAAUCAAUAGAACAAAGCCAAUUCGAACUCAAACAUCUACUGAACUUCUGAUGCUCAUCAUGCCUAAAUUAGAUUAGAUAGAUCUAACAGAUAGGAGUGGUCAAUGGCAAAGGAUUCAGAAUUCUUUCACAGCCAACACAUAGUGGAACCGUAUAAGGAAUUAAAACAGCCACCUCAAUGGGUUAAAGAUAGAUGUGUAUUAGGAACUAAAAAAUAGCUAUUCUUAAUGGAAAGACAAAACAGAAGCAUUCAACCAGAGGAAAGAUAUCUAGUGAACCAUUAGAGGCAGUAGUUUUUUCAUGUGAUUAGGUAACCUUCAGGUUCUAGUUUAUACUAGAGGACUAACAGGAGGAAUAAAUGUGCAAAAGAACAAACAAGCUCUGAUGUAUUUCGGGUCAGUAAGAAUAUGUAUGCAGAACCAUUGAUAUGAUAGCAUUAUAGCAACAUGAAGGAAAUAAAGGUCUACAGAGGCAAAGACUUCAUUUAACAUGUUGGUAGUCACAGUUCGUCAACUCUGCUAUGCUAUAUCAGCAGUGUUUGCAGUUUGCACGACCAUGCAAUGACACCUCCACGGCUCCACAGCCUAAGUUGUACACACACACACACAGAAAUUUUCCGCAAAAAAGUUACAAAUGAAGAUAGCCAAAACAACAAUUCUGUAAUGCAGUGGAAGAAAUAACCGUGCAAACAAUUAGGGCAAAAUGCAGUCUGAUCUGAGCAAAAGUACAUUGCAGGGUGAUCUAAUAUAGUGGUAUGAUGAAUAGAAAGGAAAUGAGGACCAAUACACCCAUUUGUUUCUAGAAAGAACAGAUACAAGAGGCCCGAGACUCCAUGUCACACUGCUUCAAGUCAUAAGUCGUCAGACCAAUAUCAAAUUGUGUCAAACUCGAAAAUUAAUGUUCACUAUUUCUAUUUUUCGCACUAAUUUAGCAGUCAGAGACCAAGUAACCAUUAUGUGCUGCACAAGAAUACAUAGUGAUCUCAAUUCGAUACACUUAUAUGUUAGAUUUGUCUGGGUAUUGUCUCCAGUUCAAAUUUCAAACUACCACUGAGAUGCAAAUGCAAAACUGUAAACACAUUCUUGCUCUGAUGACUGAUCAAACACAAAUCUGCAGUUACAGUUAAAAAAUUAGACCUAACUGCUGCCAAAAGUGUAUUUCCGUAUUCAUAGCGGAAAAAAGUCAGAAAAAAAAAUCCAUAAAGACCCAAAAUAAACUAGACUCAAAAUAUGACAAAUUGGUCGUCAUUAUUGUCUAUCUCGAAGUUUGGCACUAGUAUAGCAUACAGACCCAAAAGCCAUAAUGUGUUGGACAAAAGCAAUUGGCGAUAUGCAAAUGUCCCCUGUUCAAUUUCCCCAUGGAUCAUGCACAAUACAAACAACCACACAGAUGGAGCAAAACUUGUAACACACUGUUACUACUGAUCAAACAAGACAAAGUUGUUGAGAGAGGAAAAAAACAAGUAAAACACUCAAGGCUAAGAUCAAGUUCACAACCUUAUGGCCCUCGUACACGUCGUCCUCCCAGUCAUUGAAAUCGCCAAAUACAGCCUCUUCACUGCAAUGGAUGGGCCGUAACAUACAGCAACAUGAACAACAAAAGCUAAAAUCACACGAUCGUCGACACAAAACCGAAACGAGCAAAUCUAAGUGACGCACCAUUGUCGCAUGUAGUCCGGGCUGCUGCUGCCGACGAGGCGGAGGGUGCGCUUUCCCGCGUUCUUCCUGCACGCCGACGGCGCAAACACCACGAAUCAAAACCAUCCAAAUUAGUACCAAAUAAAUCCCCCAAACUUUAUCGCCAAGCGGGCGCUACAAAACCAACAAGCAGGAGCGCAAAGCAUCCAACACAACACACCCGGGGUGCGGACGGCGGCCGAUGAGGGGGCGGCGGUCGAAGGGCGACUUGAAGCGGACGUAGCGGAGGUCGUCGUCGUCGUAGAAGUCGUAAUCCACCGCCCUGUCCAUCUUGGCGAGAUACUUCUUCACCUUCUUCACGGCGACACCAGCUCCACCCCUCGCCUCCGACUUGGGGAUUCCGCGCGGGUGGAGGCCCUGCACGACCUCGAAGAACCCAGCGCUCCCGUAUCCAUCUGCAAACCCCCGCCCGCACACCGAUCAGGGCAAGGUACAAAAUCCGGAGGAACGAGCAACCAAACUAAACUAAAAAGAAAAUUUCCUAAAAGGAAAACCAGAUCAAAAGCACAUUGGGAUGAUCAGAGGCGCUUAUGUAGUGCAGCGUACAUCUCUCGUACGAGGCCAUGGGGGAAGGGGAAGUGGCCGGCUUGGUGCGGAAACCUAGCAGUCGACGCGCGCGAGGUGGGGUGGUUGCGGAAGUGGUCGGCGAGGAAAGAAGCCGCGAGGCGAUCCGUUGCAAGACGGUGUUGCGGUGUUUUCUGACACUGGUGUGGAGGCGGAGGGGUUUUUAGCAGAGUCUUUUGUGGGGAAUUCUUUCUUCCCAGAGAAGACAAGAGACAAGACACAGCCAAAUGCGUCGGAAGCCGAACGGUUUGGGGCUUUGUGGGCUCAAAUAGCCUCUGGGUAAAGGAAGGAAAUGGGUAAAAACAGAUACAGCUGUACAGUAGAUCCCAUGGGCCUAAAUCGGCAUGGGUUGGCCCAAAUCGGGUCAUGUUCAAAGCAACGCACGCGGCUGCCCUGCCUCUGCAUAGGACGCAUCCGCCACUUCUUCCGCAUUUCCUCAAACACUUCGCGCGCCGCCGCCGCCGCCGCCACUCUCCGGCGUCGUCUACUCGGCUCCGUCCCCCCGCCAGGAAGCAGACCACCACCCCAAUCCCUCUCGUCCUUCAGAGAUGCAGAAGGUUCGUCUCAAAUGGGUGAAGAACCGGGGCCUGGACCACCUGAUCGAGCGCACCACCUCCAUCCGCGCGUCCUGCCUGCUGCUCGACCACCUCUCGCGCCUCCCCGGCUCCUCCCCCGUGCCGGCGCGCUCCCUCGCUCGCCUCCAGAAGCCGCUUGGCCUCACGGUGCCUGUGCUUCGCUUCCUUCGCCGCCAUCCCACGCUCUUCUCCGAGCAACCGCACCCUCGGUUCCCCACGCUGCCCUCCUUCUCCCUCACGUCCGCGUCACACACCCUCCUGGCCCGCCUCGCCGAUGCCUCUGCGCACGACGCGCACCUCCGCCUCGCGCGCCUCCUCCUCCUCACCCGCUCCAGGUCGCUCCCGCUCGCCUCCGUGCUCCCGCUCCGCUUCGACCUCGGCCUGCCGUUCAACUUCGCCGCCGCGUUUCCGGCCUCCCACCCCGGUGUCUUCGCCGUCGCCAACAACCGCAUCUCCCUACGGUCCGCCUCCGGCCUACCCGAAGACAUCGCCGUCUCCUCCCUCCAACGCCGUCACGCCGCGGCAAUCGACUCCGCGACCUACCGCGCGCUGUCCCGGCCGCCGUCCUCUUCGAGCGCUCCGCUCGCGUUCCCGAUGCGAUUCCCGCGGGGGUACGGCGGGAUGAAGAAGGUCAAGGCCUGGAUGGAUGAGUUCCACCGCCUUCCCUACAUCUCGCCGUACGACGACGCGUCAGGGGUCGACCCUGAGAGCGACAUUUACGAGAAGAGGAACAUCGGCUUGCUACAUGAGCUGCUCGGGCUAACGGUGCACAAGAUGGUGCGGAGGAACGCCAUCCGGCUUCUUCGGGAGGAGCUGGGCCUGCCACACAGGUUCACUAGGCUGUUCACGCGGUACCCUGGGGUGUUCUACCUGUCGUUGAAGUGCAAGACAACGACUGUGGUGCUUCGUGAGGGGUACGAGAGAGGGAAGCUCGUGGAGCACCAUCCCCUGGCUGCUGUGAGGGACAAGGUGCAUUAUGUGAUGCGCACUGGAGUGCUGUACCGCGGAAAGGGUUUGUCCAAGCUUGUUCUGGAUGAGGAUGGCACUGAGGAAGAGGGUGCACUGAAUGAGGAGGAAUUUGAAGGGGAGGGAAUGGACGAGGAUGCUGAUGUUGAGUGCUUCGGAAUGGAGAUUGUGGAUGACGAUGGGCCUGUUGGUGAUGUGGAUGAUGAAGGUGAUAGUGAUGGCUGACAUGGAUUGACGAUUCUUGCCUUCUUGAUUUAUGUUUUGCAAUUGUGUCUUCAGUCAUGAGUUACAGUGACUGUGGGUUUGAUUCAACUUAUUAGUGGCUCCAAAUGAGAAGUUCAGCAAGUUAUUGUAGAUUGUAUCAUGCUCUGUUAAUACUUUGAUAUAUGCUACAUUCAUCUGCUUAAGAAGUAGCAAGCUAAAUUUAAUAUGUAGCUCUUGGUUGGAGAGUUAGAGCAUUGUUUAUGGUUCUGUAUAUAGCAUGGGGGCCCAAUACUUCUAUAUAUCAAUUUUUAUGAAAUUUGAGGUACACACAAAAUCGAAUGGGAAAUAUCUCAGCCUUUUUUUAUUAGCUAAAGUGCAGUCUCUUAUAAUAAGGUAAUUUUCAUUGCCAAUUGUCUUGCUACCAUUCUAGAGAUUGCAUUUGUUUCAUAAGUUUAUGCUUUACAGGAUUUUUCUGAUAUUCCAUAGGAUAAAACCUUUAAUUCUGUAGAUGACUCUUAGUUGCCAUCUAGUGCUUGAGUUACCUUCACCUUUAAUCAUUUAUUGGGGUGUUCAGCCAGAAAUAGCUGAAUCCAAAAUAUAAGGAAGUGUAAUUCUGACCUGUAUCAUCAAAAGAUUCUCAUAUCACUGUACCCCUGGCUUAUGGGGCUUAUGUGUUGGAGUUUUUGGGAGAUGCUUAACCUUCGUUACAAAGACACCAUGUAUCUAGGUAAAUAGAAGUCUUCAUGUUAUUUUUCUAGCUUCACCCCUGUUUAUUUAAGCAUGCCGCCACAGCUUGUUCACUUCAGUGUUUAAAUCAAGUCAAGCACACAUUUUGGCGUUAGAUGUUCUCUCCAAGGUGACAAAUCGGUUGGUGAAAAGUUGGGGCAAGAUUGGAGAUAAACUGCUCUUUUAACUUCUAGAUGUCAUUUGGGAAAAAGAUAUUUGGAUCAUUUCAGGUAAUUGAAAAGGCCUCACUGUCCUAACCUCUAUAUAGGCUCUGAGCCUCUCACAGUCUCACCAAUGAUGGUCAUGGGUGUGGUAAUUCGCAAAAUUGCUGACCAUUGGUCCUCACAUCAUUCCAGCUAACUAUCAUGUUGUUGACUCAGGAACCCUUGCAAUCCUCAUAGCGAUUUUUGGAAGACAGUGGAAUCAAAUUUGUGAUGUGCACAUAUUGAAUUUCGUGUUCUACGGUUCUCUGAUUUCAUUUGUGCCCUUUCUGAUUUUAAAUUGCGCCGGUCACGUUCUUUUAGUAACAUUAAGUAUGAAAUACCAACAGUUUUACUCUACGUUCGACCUAAUGUUGGAUGCCAGCCUCUUUUGAAAAAUCCUGGAAAGUGUCUCACUGUUCAGACUUCCAAGUCACUUGCAUGUGCAGCUAGAAAACCAUGUGAAUAUGCUCUUGUGCCUCAAAUCAAUGCAGUUGAUUUUGUUCUGCAAGCCUGUAAUAGACUUAACUUUACAAACUGCAAUAUGUGUGAUUAACCAGGAAAAACAGCUUAUCAGCACCUUUUCUUCAUUAAACCAAAAUCUGUUGGUACUCUGUUUUAAUGCAUGUGUAUACUUGUAUAUGCCUUUCUUGAGUUCAUACAUUUUGAAAAAAAAGCACAGACAGGGGCGGAGGGAGGGGUCAAAACCUCCCUAUGCUAGGUUUACCCCUCUUACAUGAUAUCAUUCUGUUGAACCUAGUGCGGCUGUCCAUGAUUUAUGGUAUUAUUUAUCUUAGCAAUCCAUUUGUAAUAUACAAUUUACUACUUAUUUGAACCACGGUGCACAGGUGGUGAUUGGUGAAGUUCAUUUGAUUAUUAGCUGGUGCACCAGGAUUUUAAACAGCAGCUACUUUUCACAAAGAACCUUCUCUAUGAAGUUUCAUUGUUUGUGCUACUGCUUGUCUCCUAAGAUGACAGGUUAUGUGGUUUGCAUACCGUCUUAUUCCUUCUUUUGCUCAUAUUUACUUAUGCAGACCAACUAUGUUGCAGGAUUCGUUUCUGGAGGGAUUACAGAUUACUAUCAUGGUAGAAGUAGCAGCACACACCAUCUUUGAGGUAUUGGUUUUGCAUUUAGCUAGUGAUAUUAAAUUCAUGAUAGGUGCCAGUAGCCUCUCCAUUUAUUUCAUUUUCUUUUUAGAGUUAUUGGUCCCUGAGAUUCGUGUGUAAUUUGUUCUAGAUUUAUUUUGCUGCUUUCAUUACUUAAUUACUGACUCUGUAUUCUCCAACAUGCCAAAUGCCAUGUUUUUUAUGCCCCUUAUAAAACUGAAAUCUCACCUUUUUCUGCAGAAAACUCUAGCCAGCCUAGUAUAUCAGAUAAACAAGUCAUUCACUAAGUUUCCUUUUGUGUGUGUUUAUGUGUGAUGUGUGAAGCUGCACGGCAGAUCUAGAGGUUGCAACUCCUGCCUACCGGGCAAGAGCACUAGAGCAGCCAUGAUGAACUGUGAAGCAAAUAAGGCACAUUCAGGCUAAAGUUUCUCUUGGCAUGUCAUGGUAGCUGCGAAGGCCGCAGCUGAACCCCCUAUAGCCUCACGUUCCCACAGCCUUUUUAUCAGGCUAAAGUAGCUUGGCAUCAUAGGAGAGAUGAGAUGGGAUGCAUGCCCCAGAAGACCAGAAUUGGACCCUGCGCUUUCCUGGAUUCCAAUGCCCAGAUGGAUGGAGGGCCAGGGAAGAGGGAACAACCGGAAAAGGAGGAAGCCAAUUUGUUACUCGGGUAGACAUACUCUAUGCCAAUUUGCCACGAACUUUGUCAAAAAGAAUCAGCCACUGAGGGGGCCACUGGUUGUUGCUUGAGUAGGGGUAAUCCCAAUGCCUCAUUCUAGCUUAACUAGUGGGGACAGCUGAUAUUAGAAUGCAAAGCUAAUCAUUACAUCAUGCCUCCUCCCUGAUGAUGAUCCUUGCCUUUUGCGCCCAGCCUUUUUCUACUGUUUCACAGCAUGCAUCAUAUUGCCUAGGGCAGAGAACAUAUUGGGAUAGAAUGAAAUUAUGCCGAAAUGAAAUAUUCAGCAGUAUAUAUAUCAUGAAACUCUGACCUAAACUAGUGAAGUGACUAAUAAAGCUAAACCAUAGUCCAGAAUAUGUUUAUAUGAUCAGUUAUGGAUCCAGAAUGAUUGCUCCUCUUCUUUUUAUUCGUGCAUAAAAAUUGUUGGGAGGGCCCUCCCAGCCCCCACGCAAGAUCUACCCUGAAUAUGAUAUGAUACUAUUUAGCAAAAAUUUCAACCAUAGUUUAUAUUUCCGAAGCUGUACCUGAACAUAGCAAAUUUUUAAGCCUGCUGGCAUGAACUUCGAAGGAUAGAGGCAUAGAUCAAUCUCCAAUCUGAUGCAUUACACUGACAAAAAAAAAUUCCAGCUCUGCUUUCCUGUAUAGUCACAUGAAAACCAGGAGCUAUCAUUCGCACCACGUCUGAUCAUGAAACUGAAGGUGCAGGUGUGCAGGGGGUGCUUGGAAACUGCCACUGGAAAUCUGAUUGCAGAAUUGGGCAGUGUGGAGGCAUGACUGCAUGAGAAUCCUAUACGAGCAUGAUACCUGCUAAUUGCAUGCACACACAGUGGGUUGUUACCCAGGAUUUCAGGUCAGUGAUUUGUUUCUGGUCGUCUUGGAUGUUUCUCCCUUCUUUUUCCUGCCCGUUCUUGUUUUUGACUUGUCUCCGCCGGCAGUAUGUCAGAUCUAGUUCAAAUCAGGGCACUCGUCACCUCAGCUUACCUCUAAAUGCAGUCCCAAUUAUAUUUAUGAUUCUGUACUGUAAGUGGCUGCAGACUCGGCAUCUCAUGUCAUUGUGGAUGAGCUAGUGGGUUUAUUGCCGUCACCUGGCUGGAUUAUUUGGCUUAUCACAGGGGUCUGGAAGCAGUUUUCGUUGGUCCACUGACAAAAAAUAGAUUUCUGCAAAUUGGAGCUGGCUGUUUUCUCUGCAAACAACUUGAUUACGACUUUUUUGGUGGAGAUGAAGGUCGGAUUAUUAAUAAUCACUUUGGUGUUUGGCACGGCUAUGGCUUUGCUAAAACGGCUCCGGCUUCUUUACUUUUUAUUUAAAAACGGGUUUUUCAGAAAAACAUUUGGCAGGGCUCAUAAGGAAUCGGAGCCGAAAAGAAGCUUUGUCAAACAGGCCAUUAGAAGCAACAAGUGGAUUCAGUUGACGAGUUAUCAUGCCACUUUUCAUGUGCUUUAACAGAUAAUCGUUUCAUAAUCUUGGUUAAAUAAACUCUCGACUUUUCGUGGUGGUUGUUUAAUUCUAUCGCAUUGCUCCACUCCAUCCACUGUCUGUCUGUCCAUCAUCUCAGUCGUUACCUGAUUCUCUCGAAUUACUUUUGUGAAGGGGCAAGUAAUACAGCGACACAUGAGAGGGGUGGGUGAUGGAUCAAAAGGAAUCCUGCGGGGAAGCCUAAUUGUUGCGGUCAACAGACAAAACCCGUCUCAAAAGCAGGACGGGUACGGUGCCAUAUCAUCAUCAUAUGGUCCUGCAGAGGGAGGGGAUGGGGUCAUUAGUCUGUCUCCAAUAGGAGACCCAUUUGGGAACCCAAACCCAAAAUAGGUUUCCAAUACAAUACCUAUAGCCUCUAACAGAGUACCUAUACAGAAGACCUAUUUUGGGUAUCAGGAGAGCCAUAACCCAAAUUUGGGUAUUCUCUCUCCUCGACACCCAUUUGCAGAGAGUGUUGUCUUUUAGGUCUUGUUGUUGGAGAAGACUAAAAAUAGGUAUGAAACCUUUUACCUGUAGCGCUACCCAAAGGACAAAUGGAUCUUGUAUUUUGGGUGAGCAUUUUGGAGAUAGUCUUAGGGAGGGGCACGGGAGAAGAAAAGGAUGGCAAAAGGAGUAGGACAGGACGGCCUACGCCGGGUGAGUUGACGACUUGUCUUGUUGUCGUCCUUCCUCCUCGCAACGCAACCACUAGUCCUGCGCCUGGGCAUCACGGGCGCACCUUAUCGUAUCCAAAGCCACCUAUGUGCCGUAGAUCCUUUGAUUAUACUCUGCUAAUUGCGAUCGCUAAAAAGAUGCCGAGGAGCAUCAUGCGCACUUGGUACCGCCGGCACAUCCCAAACAGACGCCACUGGUUUUCACUUUUCAGGAUGUGACAUGUGCUAUACGGUUUUCAUUCUGAAGCUGUAGAUACAUCCAUAGGAGUGUACAUAUGAAACCACCCUAUAAUUCUGCAGUAGAAGAUCGUGAAAAAAAAAUGCAUUUGGAACCUAUAGUUAAUUAUCUGGGGAUUGAAUUAUCGCUCCAUUUUGCUCUGCAGUCUGCCUAAUAGCCUAAUAAUAAAGAUUCAGGGACCUUUUGCUCGCUAAAGUUGCACGAUAACCAUAACCAUGAUUAAAGUGCGGGCAGGCGAUUAGGCGUUAUAAACGGCACCCAUCACUCGGGUGUGGUCUGGUCAGGGGCACGCUCGUUUCUUUGUGUGAUUGGGACAUUGGGUCGCAGCGCGGCAGCGCCAACGCCAACGCCCCCAAGAACAAGAAGUGAUGUUGACAGAUGGGUCCCCUGUAGCCCGAAAGGGUUGCAGCGUGGUCCAGAGCCCCGGGCCCAAACGUCUUCCAAUGGUCCUAAUUAAUUCUCUUUCGGUGAGAAUUAACUUUAACUAGGUAGUGUACUCUGCUAUGAGACAAUUAAAUUUAUAGAAAAAUACAUAAAUCACAUAAUAAAAUAAUAAUACUGUAAAAUUAAAUAUUAUUAUUAAAGUAAUAUUUAAUCUAAAAAGUAAAAUGUGUAAAACUAACACAGUCACAUUGAACAAUAUAAUAUCAUAGAAAUUUUAAUUGCAACAUGUGCUAUACAGUUACUAAAAAAAUGAAUCCUUGAACAUGAUGAGAUUAUCAUCCCACCAUCAGUGUCGUUUCACUCUUGUUGACAUCGGUUGUCUUAGCUUGUCUACAUGCUACACGAGAAGCUAAGCGAUGCAGAGACUGUCGACCUCAGAGAGCAAUGGCCAAUAGGCCAACGGAUGCACAGGUCAACACUAUGUCCAUUCAACUUCUAUUUCCCCUAACAGGUUUUGUAUUUUAAAAAGUAUUUUUAGAGGAAUUAUUAUCUCACAAUGUUAUGUAAUUGGACCUUGGAGACAAUAGUAUGAUCCCUAACAUAUAAUGCACCUCCAACGCAUAACUCAAAGCAUCCAAGAUACAUUGAACUAGAUGAAUUUCCUACGUGUUUUGUUGCUAAAACAGAGAUGUCAACGGGAAAUUCCCCGUCGGGGAGUGCUUCCCCGUCCCUGUGGGGAAGAAACUUCCCCCAUCCCCGUCUCCGCGAAAUGUCACGGGGGAGAUCUUCUCCCCAUCCCCAUCCCCGUGGGGUUCCCCGUAUCCGCGUUAGUGAACCCCGACGGGGACAACUUUCGCCCCGUUUAAAUCCCCAUGGGGGCAAAAAUCUAUACCAUCCCCGUCCUCUAAUAGAUGAAUUCCCCGCGGGGAAUCGGGGAACGGGGCCCCGUUGACAUCCCUAUGCUAGAAUCUAAAAGAUCACUCUGGUUCCACUUGAUUCUUCGAUGGUUGUCCAGCCCAUUCAUCAUUUUUCUAGCUUCACGUAUGGUAUAUAAAGGGGCUUCUUUACAGUCAUAAAUUUAGGUGGAAUGGUUUGAUGAUCACUCAUCAACCUUGACGCUAUGGGAGGAAGUUCACGAUCUUACGAGGCGAUUUCCAUCCAUUGUUGCUUGGGGACAACCAACUUUUCGAGUGAGGGGCAAUGUCAAGGCCACAAAGGAGAGGACAAGAAGGAUCAAGAGUAUCAUUACACAUUUGGCAACAAAGCAAAUGACAUCAAUCAAGGUGGGGUAAUAUUGACAGCUAAGCCGUAAUUGUGUGAGUUAGUGGUGAGUUAACAAGUGUUAUGGUAAGAAUUGGCCUGAUAUAUAACAUUUGAGGUCAUUGUGUCUUGUAACGAAGAAUUGAAACUCUAAAAUUUGAAAGAAAUCUAUCUCUAUUCUUCGUCCCCAAUUUUGCUUCUUUUCCUAAAUCUCCAAUUCUCAAGCUAUCUAUCUAAUAUGUUGCGAAACCAUAAGGCCAGUCUCAAUGGGAGUUUCAUGUGAGUUUUAUUUGCAUUAAAUAGGUUGCCACAUAGGCUGUUUUGAUGACAUGACAGUGUAUUUAAGAAGAGAGAGAAGAAAUAGGUUUCAUCUAGAUGAAACUCUCUUGGCACGAUUACCAACUCUCUAUGAGUUUUGGAAUUAAAUGCUUAUGAAACUAUAAAAUGAAACUCUCCAUUGAGAGUGGGUGUUUCAUUCAAGUUUCAUUUUAUUUCAUAUGACACGACAGUCUUGAAAACAAUACCAUGAAACUCUUCACUGAGAUUGGCCUAACAAGAGCCUAGGAAGCCUAUAGACGUCGGUCGAGGUUUAGAAUUAGUCUUCUAAGGAAUUUAAUUAUAAAUACAUGGAAUCAAUAGAAGAUAAUAGAGCCAAUGUAGAUUUAAAAAAUUAUCUUAUUUUAGUUAUAUAUAUAUCGAUUAUAUAGGUAUUAAUCUGUCAAAAAAUAUUAAAAAGAAAAAAGAAAUAGAAUUUGCUAAAAAAAAGAAAAGAGAAAAAGAAUGGUAUGUGUUUUCAAAAAAAAAGAAUGGUAUGCGCUUUUAUUUAGGGGCCCGGUAACCCACGCACCGCCGCAUAGUCUUCUGCUCGGCAGCGCCGAGAUCUUCUGCUCCUUCCCCACUCCCAGGCUCGGCUGCGGCGUCGGCGGCUCCCCCUCCCGCCUCUCGCCACUCGCCUCCGUCCUCCGCGCACCUGCCGGCGACCCUGUGUACGCACCUCCCUCUUCCCUCCCGCCUCUGCUGUACCGUGGGAGCCCGGCCUGCUGCCCAGUGUGGCCGGGCCUUGGCUCCGCCGGUGCUUGGUGGCGCCCAGAAUUAGCGUGGAAGCAGGUUCGAUUCUUGGAACUCUUUGGAUUGAAGGGAAAGUUUGGUUUUCUUCGUCUCUUUACUCCUCGUCCUUUAAAAUAGACAAUGAAAUCCUUGCGGUUCUUGUAGGGUGGAGUGCUGUCUGGGCAGAAAUCUGCUCACCGGGUGCCAGGAAACAGGCGGUUGGAGAUAAUUGUUUGGGGGAUUCGUCAAGAAAAGACCCAGUAGGUGGUUGCGCACUUGUUAUGCUGAGACUGAAUGGAGGCUGUAGACAAGAUUGCUGAGCCCAAAGACCCUUUCGUGCUCACUUCUCAGAAGGUUCAGAGCUUAGAGCCACCGAUACCGAUAAAGGCGUCAUGGAAAGGGAAGUACUCCCAGGAGCAAGAAGAGAAGGAUCUGCCAGCUGAUGGCGAAGAGAGCUUCCGGAGCCUGGAUUCCUCUGAUGAAGGUGGCCGGAGCUCCUUCUCUGGAGCUAGUCACCCUCCAGAGCCAAUUGAUAUGGAUAUCAUGAAGACGGUCUAUGUCGCAAUCGACGAGGAGAAGUCUGAGCCACCGGUUUGUUUAGUGCGAGGAGUCUCGGUGAAGGGGCCUUUCAUAGAUGACCUCUCGAUCCGUGUUGCAGGCACAAAGGCAAAUCUGUUGGUAGGCGCAGGCGGUGCUGAAGGCAUGGCUGAAGAGAGGAAGGUAUCUGCUUCUGCAGUGGCAUCAGUCGCCACAGCACGCUCAUCUCAGGCUACCUCUUUGCCUCAGGACUCAGAGGAGAAGGAGUGCGUCUGGGACGCUUCACUCCCUCCCAGUGGCAAUGUUAGCCCUCACAGUAGCAUUGACAGCAUGGGUGUGGUCACUGCCAUGAGCACCCUCCACAGCUGUGCGAGCACAUAUAAAAGUGAAGCCAUAGCUGGUGAAGCAAUGCUCAAUGUGGAGAGGAACUGUGAGAGUGUAAAGGGUGUUCGAGGUGACUUACUAGAAAGUGCAAAAACUAGCAUGAGUCGAGCAAGUGAUAGCAGUGGUGUUAGCGAUGACAGCAGCUGGAGCCACAUCACUGGAGGUGCCAGCAAGCCUCACAAGGGGAAUGAUCCUAGAUGGAAGGCAAUUCAUGCUGUACGGACUCGUGAUAGUGUUCUUGGAAUGAGCCAUUUUAGACUACUAAAGCGUCUUGGUUGUGGUGACAUUGGCAGUGUUUACCUCUCAGAAUUAAGUGGAACUCGGUGCUACUUUGCAAUGAAGGUAAUGGACAAGGCAUCCUUGGCAAGUAGGAAGAAGUUAAAUAGGGCUCAAACUGAAAGGGAGAUUCUACAGCUUCUCGACCACCCAUUCCUCCCAACGUUGUAUACACAUUUUGAAACCGACAGGUUCUCUUGUUUGGUGAUGGAAUUCUGUCCGGGUGGUGAUCUGCAUACUUUGCGACAGAGACAACCUGGAAAGCAUUUCUCUGAGUAUGCUGCAAGGUAAUCUAUAUUGAACACUACUAUUCUUCAGAGAAAUGUAAUUUGUUUGGAGUAGAGUAGAUGAUUUCUCAAGUUGUAUUCCAUAUGACUGAAUGCCUAUUAUCAUAUUAUAUUCACAUUCACCUGCGGAAAGAAAAUUCUAUUCACAUUUGGGGAUAUUGUUAAUUUAAUUUACUACUAGUUUAAUUGACAAGGUGAUCUAAUGUUACUAUCAUAGUUUAUUGGGCUUUUUAUGGAGAAUCUAAGCAUCAGUUUUAUUGGCCUUUUUGUGAAGAAUCUAACUUUGUUCAGAUAUGAUCUCUACAAAUUCCCGAAUAGAGUCUAAUAGCUUUUAUGAGUGAUGUGUCGGAACAAAGUGCAUGUGGUUAGGUAUCCUAAAAUGUUUCCUGCAUUAGUGGAGUAAAAUUUAUACAGCAGGGCCCAUGUGAUGAGUAGCAUGAAGUAAGAGAGAUAUUAGGCCAUGAUAGAUUGUAGCUUUGUUUCAUAAUUCAACAGUAGUUAGGCAAGCAGUAACAUGGAUUGCCCUGAUUCUGUGCAGGUUUUAUGCCGCUGAAGUACUUCUAGCUCUGGAGUAUCUACACAUGUUGGGAGUCGUCUACAGAGAUCUGAAACCAGAAAAUGUUCUUGUGCGCGAUGAUGGGCACAUAAUGCUUUCAGAUUUUGACCUCUCGCUGAGAUGUGCAGUCUCACCUACACUCAUCAGAACAUCAGCUUUUGAUUCUGAUCCCAGAAGAGCAGGUGGUUCUUUCUGUGUACAGCCUGCUUGCAUGGAACCUACUUCAGCUUGUAUUCAGCCUGCGUGCUUCCUGCCCAAAUUCUUCGGUCAGAAGAGCAAGAAGAAGACUAGAAAGGCAAGGUCUGAGCUGGGACAGAAUGCUGGCACCCUGCCUGAGCUUGUUGCCGAGCCAACAUCAGCCCGAUCGAUGUCAUUCGUCGGGACUCAUGAAUACUUAGCCCCUGAAAUCAUCAAGGGUGAAGGGCAUGGAAGCGCCGUCGACUGGUGGACCUUCGGCAUCUUCCUCCACGAGCUGCUGUACGGCAAAACCCCAUUCAAGGGGUCAGGGAACCGCGCCACUCUGUUCAACGUGGUCGGUCAGCAACUGAAAUUUCCAGAGUCGCCGUCCACGAGCUACUCAAGCAGAGAUCUCAUCAGGGGGCUCCUGGUCAAGGAACCGCAGAGCCGCCUCGGCGUGAAGCGGGGAGCGACGGAGAUCAAGCAGCACCCCUUCUUUGAGGGCGUGAACUGGGCUCUCAUCCGGUGCAGCACCCCUCCCGAGGUCCCCAGGCCCGUCGAGGCCGAGCUGCCUGUGAAGUACGGCGUGGCGGAGGCGAUCGGGAGCAACAGCAAGAGGAUAGCCGGAGCAGACGUGAAGUCCGGCGGGAAAUACCUCGACUUCGAGUUCUUUUAGAGUAUAUAGUGCCCAGUGGCAGCCUAUUGUUUGCAUACUGUCCGUGUAUGUGGCCAGUUUGAUGUUGUGUGAUUCGAUGUGGUGCUUUGGUGUCUCACCGUCGAUGCAAAAUUCUCAGAUCUGAAUCGACCAAAAAUUAGAUAGAUCUGUCAUCUGUUUGCCACUUGCCUGCUUUGGCGCAUUUCGAGUUGUAGCAGACCUGAAAGCAGUGAGUGUGGCAAAAAAAUUCUCAUGAUCAAACAGAUGAGAAGGCGCUUUCCUACUUGUUGCAAUGCACCCGUUGCCUUGGACCCUUGAUGAGUCCGGGACCGUGGGUGGCCCAGGACCGACCGGCGCUGUGCGAUGCGCCCGCUUCGCGUGAGCUCGCCGCCGCGACACGCUUGCUCUUGCCUUGCCCGUGUUCCAUGGCUGUGUGCAGGACCAGACGACGUUUGGUGCUGUGGGAAGGAGCGGUGCGGCGUGACCGGCCGAGCUGUGCUGUUGGCGUCGCGACCAGUUGCUGUCUCGCCCACCGAUGGCAUUGAUAGCCGAUCACGCGAGAUGUCAUUGUCAUCCACCACGGGCGGAAUGCCGUUGUGCAGGCGCAGGGCAAUUUAGGGUGGAUUGCCGCCGGCGACAGUAACUUCGUUACCUAAACAAGUCUCUAUUCUAAAUCUAGAGAUUUGAUGUAAAAAAAUCAACUUCAACCCACCUCUUACUUGGCCUCCCAUUUUCCAUGCCCUUCCAAAUUAUAGUUUUAGCCCCUCACAUCUAGAACCCCUAUCCAGUGGGUCCCACCCACAUUUCUCUCCCCACCUAUAAAUCAAGACAAGAAUGGUUCCACCCACAUUCCUCUUCCCACUCAUAGAUCAAGACAAGAAUUAUAAAUGGUGGAGUUGAUGGAGGAUUUGUCAAUGACAGAUGGGCCCCAUAUGAAAUAAGGACUUGGUUUGUUUUUUUCAUUGGAGUUGGAUCUUAAUUUGGGCCAUUACUUUUUUUAUCAUAGCCUGUAAAUAAAAAUUUAAGGGUUUAAUUUAGAGACUUGGCUGAAGUGAAAACAGACUCCACGCCAUGGAAGAAUCAUCGGGUGCUGCCGGCGCGUGAGAAUCACGUGUCGGGUCUGUUGAGGAAGAACGUCUCUAUAAUUCCGUAUGAAUCGGAUCGGACGCUAUCAUUUGAAAUUCAUAGCGUGGCGAAAUUCGCAACAUUCAUUCAUCAGUAACAAAAAAAAUCGUGUUUUUCUAAAUACUACAUACAUAAUACAAUAACCGAAAGUCUGAGUUGUCAUUUGCGCACAUUUCGAGGGACUAAAGACAAAGUGCAUUUGGAAAUUGAAACAAACAAACUAGCAACCGAAGCGUACAGAGGGCCAAAGCCCAAAGCCAAAUACGCCCGAUUCGCCGCAUCGCAGAAACAUAGGACGCAACCUCGCAAAAUCGCCGCCGCCAGCACCUACUCCUCCACCGGACGCCGAUAGCUCCGCCUUCCCUUCCUCCGGCGCGCCAGUCGCCAUGGUGAAGCGGUGGCUCCCCCUCGAGGCCAAUCCCGACGUCAUGAACCAGGUACACCCAUCCCCUCGUCUGUGUUCCGAGUUCUGUACUUCAAGGCUCGUUCCGACUCGGCCCCUUGGUUGGUCUUCUUCGCUCACGGCGCCCUUUCCUGCACGAUCGGUGUAGUUCAUGUGGGGACUGGGGGUCCCCGAGGACGUGGGGUUCUGCGAUGUGUACGGCCUCGAUGACGAGUUGCUCGCCAUGGUGCCCCAGCCGGUGCUCGCAGUCAUACUUCUCUACCCUCAGGUGAUUCUCGAUUCAUGGCUGGCGCCCUACAUUCAUUCAUUGGUUUGGUCGUUGCUUGAACCGCUUUGUGGAUGAGCUCACAUUUUACCGCGUUUUGUUGGGCAGGACCGGAUCAAGGAAUCCCAAGCUUCAGCUACCUCGUCGGUGGAGACCAAGGUGAGACUGAAGUCGGGUUGCUUGCUAGUAUUGUUCCAAAGCAGUCUGUUCCAUUGAAUAGAUAUACAUUGUUACUUCUCAUUGUAGAUGCAGCGAAACUGAUGCAGUAGUUUUUCAAACUUAUAGAUUGGAUUGGAAAUUGUUUGUCUAAUUUUGCUAAUUUUGUUUGUUGGUGAACAUUGCUGCAUUAGAUCUAGCAAACCCUUAGUUAUUUUUCAAAGUCACGUUAUGAAUAGGCUACUUACAUUAUUCUUCGAAUAUAAGCUCUUGAGGUUUGGUUUUAUAGAGCCCACUGUCUGUUUCUUCUAGUAAACAUGCUAAUUUUAUCUUCAAGUGAUGGUUGAUUCCUAUCAAAUGAUAACUUGAAGUAUUUAUACAUAUAGUGUACGUCUCACUAGUGAUGCUUUAUUAGCACAUAAAUCAAAUGUCUCAGUUAUGUUGUUAAUUUGUAUCUUUUCAUCAAGAUGUAAAGCUCAAUUCAAUUUCAUAUAGCAUUGAAUUAAAUCAAAGGUUGUUACUGGACUUAUUGCUACUUUAACUGUCAAGAGUAUAUAGGUGUAUCCUUCUUUACUCAUUAGUCCUGAAACUAAAUUAUGCAGGAGCCCAGCAAGAAUGUAUAUUUCACAAAACAAACUGUUGGGAACGCCUGUGGCACAGUUGGUAUUAUUCAUGCACUGGGGAAUGCUACUUCCAGAAUCAAGCUAGGUACUUUCUUUUUUUUUUCUCAGUACUUUUGAACUCUUAGGCCUUGUUCAGUUGGCAAAAAUUUUGGUUUUUGGCUACUGUAGCACUUUCGUUUUUAUUUGACAAACAUUGUCUAAUCAUAGAGUAGUUAGGCUCAAAAGAUUCAUCUCACAAAUUACAGGUAAACUGUGCAAUUAGUUUUUAUUUUUGUUUAUAUUUAAUGCUCCAUGCAUGCGACCAAAGAUUCGAUGUGACGGGGAAUCUUGAAAUUUUUUACGAACGAAACUUUUCAUCUACAGUAUUUUGAUGCCUUUUGAUUAAACUGAAAACAUAUGCUAAUAUUAAUUACUCUAGGCAAUCCACACUACUCUAUUUCCAGUCUGCCUGCGAAAGACAUAGCAAGUUUCAGCCCAUUUUGUCACCAACAGUAAUUUUCAUUAUCUAAAAACCAAAAAAUAAUCUGCAUGAUCCUCUGAGAAUUUCAUAUGGUUCCCUAAAAAAAUUAGCCUAGCUAUCUUCCACUUGUGAAAUCUUAUUAACCUUUUUUCUUUGCAGCUGAGGGGUCAUAUUUCGAUAGAUUUUAUAAACGAACUGCUGACAUGGAUCCUAGCCAGGUUAGUGAUCGAUGUUGCAAUUCAAAUGCUUUCAUAUUGUUGGCUUCCUUCAUAUGCUGAACUAACUUAUUAAGUGGGUGAUAUUUUCAGCGUGCUACAUUUCUUGAGGAGGACGAGGAAAUGGAGAAUGCUCAUUCCAUUACCGCUACUGCUGGUGACACAGAGGUUAUUAUAUUUAUGGAUGUUAUUCUUUUGAUGAAAUGUAUGCAGGUUAUUCUUUUUUUUUUUGUCAGUGCUUCACAGAAUCAAAGUGAUCUGCAGUUACCAGUAUCUGAGAACUGACUUCUAAUACUUGUUUACUCAUCUAGAAAAGAACAGUUUGCUGACCAGCUAGAGUUACAGGUUCCUAGCAAGUUUGAAAUCUGUCUGCUAGUAGUAUAUGCCCCUUUACUCUUGCCAUUGCAUUUUGUCUGCCUGAGUAUUUGAGAUUUGUGUUGGAAUUUUUUGCUCACGUGUCAUUGUAAGUGAGAACUGGACAUCUCAAUUCACAAUAUCAGUUGUAACAGUUGUUAUUAAAGAACUGAAUCAAGUCAAUUAGUUGAAACUAUGGUCUGGGCUUAUCUUAUCUUUGAUUACUAUCAGACACUGAUGGAUCCUAUUUUACUAUGCAGGCCAAGGAUGGAGUAAUUGAACAUUACAUUUGUUUCUCUUGCGUCGAUGGUAUGUAACAUACGAUCGUCUACUAAGACACCAUAGUUGGAUUUUGCUGCAAAUCCUCGACAAUUAGUCUAUCAUCAUCUUCUCAUAACUCUUUACAUUUUUUUCCAGGAGAACUUUAUGAGCUUGAUGGGGGGACAUCACAGCCAAUACCCCAUGGGCCUUCCACUCCUGAUACCUUGUUGCAGGUAAAUUGAUGCACCCAUGUUAUUUCUUAUUCAUCUGAGUUUUAGGAUUAUGAUAUGGAAAGAAUUCAUGUUUGCAAAUUUAUACCUUAUAUAAGCGUGGGGACUGAGAAUUUUGCUUCAUUGGUGGAGGGUGCCACCCACCUGGUAAACGCAAGAGAGCUACUGACAUAUAGUUGGAAAAGGUUUUUUUUAGCUUGUGGCAUUAACUUAAGAUUUUUGGUCAUGACACCGCGAGCUCCUUGUUUUUGGUAUAAGGAAAUGCGGAUGAUGCUUAUGGUUUUGAACAUCUUUGUGUGCAGGAUGCUGCAAAAGUUAUAAAAGCAAGACUUUCCAUGUAUUCCCAGUCAAACAACUUCAAUGUCAUGGCUCUUUCAGGCAAAGUGAUAUAGCAUUAUAGCACUUUCAGUCAUAGGCAGUUGAGAACCCCAUUUGCUUUGCAGCAGCCUCGGAGUCCAACAUUGCAGUAUGUAGUAUCAUUUUCUUGCCUUCGUUUUAGUAUUUGGACAGCUAAAACAAAAUAAAUAAAAGUAGGUACAGAAGUGUUCCCGUUGUGUCACUUAUCCUUUGGAGAAGCGCUAAGUUCGACCAGCAGCUAAGGUGGUAUGCCUAUCCAUGAACCCAUGUCCAUGGUUCGUUCUGCGCCCAGAUCGACGAGGUGCGGUCUGCGUUCUGGCUAGAAAGAGUGUCCGUGUGUCUGGCUAAUUCGGCACUCCGCAGUUGCUUGUGUCGCGAUCUCAUGUCGAAUGCAUGGUUCGCUAGUGUUAACGCGGCACUGCCACUGCGCUAAUUGGCUUAGCCCAGGCGCCUAAAGCGGCGAGGCAUGCUAACAAUCUCAUGCCGUUUGCGAUAACGAAAUUUCACAGAUGGACGAGACGGUAGCAAGUUCGAAACACACACAAGAGCAUGCUGAACACAAUGCUGAAGGUUUACGAAUUUCGGAAUCACUGAGCCUAGCCUAGACGUGUUCAGUGUUCCCACAGAGUAACAGCGAGGUACUCUCUGGCUGAAAAACGUCGGACUAGUCCAUUCGGGAUGAAUCGAGUCUCCAAACCAAUCCAAACGUCGGACGAGUCCAGAUGCCCGUGAUGAGGCCGUUCGUUUGCUUUGGAUGCAUCCUCUUGCGAGUCGAGAUGCAUCCAAAUUCCCAAUCAGGCAGUCGUCGUGGUCGUCCGGUCCGACCUCUGCAAAGCCUGCGCCACUGGUUGUCUGGUUCACCGCUCACGCCUCACCGGCACGGCGUGAGAUCGUCAGCGACUUGUCAGUUAUCACUCAGGGUCGUCGCUCCUGUCCCAAGAUAAUAACAUUUCAAUUCCCGGAAAAUUAGUUUUCCCCUCUGCACGAUUUGUCGUUUGGGUUGGUCUGUCUGCAAGCCUGCUUGCAUCCGGACACGUCGAUCACAAGAGGAUCCGCCUGCAAUGACUAUGAUUCUGGUGGCUCAAGUAGUCAAGUCCCCAAUCAAUGAGUAUACGUCAGUUUACUGUAAUUUUGUUGCGCUAGGCAGGAUAGUUCACUAGUUCAGCUCUAGGUUAUACAAAAAGGAUCGGAUCCCCAUUUCUUACAGAGCAAAGUCACCUAGCUACAACUUUGAACUUUCCAAGGUCUCAACCAGCAAACUGCCAGUGUCCAAAACAGUUCAUGGUACUAUCUAUGGCCGUCGCAUGUGAGCAAAAAGACAUCAUACAUCAGGGGACAUCAUAUAUCAGGCCCCGGUGUGCUUUUCAACUAGCCAAAAGGGCAGCGUAUAUUGCUACUUCGGAGGAAAUGUCCUUGCUGAUACUUUCUUUGAGUUCCAGGUCAUAAAUUCAAGAUGAUGAUAGGGAGCUGGAGCUAGGUUCAGCGGCGACCUCAAUCUAAGAAGUUAGCUGCAAAAGAAAAUCAUAUUUAGUAAAGGAUCUCAUUAUUGUUAGUGUUGUAUUCAGGAACAGGUUAAAACAAUCCAGACUUUUUCGAAGACAUUUUCUGCAUCGGUUCUUCAGUCAACAAUACCUGUGUAUCCACCAAAAGUUUGUUUGAAAAUAAUAUUAUGCCUCCCUAUGCUCUGAUCAUCAUUGACUCGUCAAGGAGGACCAGAAAACAAAUUCUUUUAUUAGAACCUUCACAUGUUCUGUUCAUGUGUGCUCUAAUUGCCAAUCCUUAAUUACAUAUAUGCUAAAUUAAGCAAUGUGCAACUGCAAUUAAGAUAAUAAGUUACAUUAGAUGAUUUUGACUUCACUUUUUUUAUUUAUUCCAGAAAAUUCCUAAAGCAGCUAGUAGUCCUGUGGGUACUAAUUGAAGUUUAUUUUGCGUCAAUUCUCUGUCUCCUAGACAUCCAAGAAAGGCAAUAAAACAUUGUAUCAUUGUCCAAAUAUGUACUCAAAUUAUGGUUAUCAUCUACCAUUGUAAUAUUAAGAGAGAAGGUAUCCAUAUAAAAGUGAUAAAAUGACUAGCAGCCUUUGUGUUUAACAACAUCAAAGUAUCGCAAUUGCAGAGGCAUUUGGAACAAACUGGUAGUGUAGACACUGAUGAAGAUCUUAACAAUGUACCUGUGCAUGCACUAAGUGUGGUUUAAAAUGUGUGUUGACGAUGAAUGGUCAUUUUCUUCAGCAAUGUCAUACAGGCAAUGUUCUCAACAGCUGAAUAGCACUAUUCCAUUGUGGGCCUUCUGCAAGAACAAUCCGCUUCAACAGGGGCACUGCUCCAGCAGCAAUUAUUGCUGGGUGAUUCUCUGGAUCCAUGCUCAGAUUAUACAAGAUAGCUAAGGUAGCUUCGAGUGCAUCUCCAUCCCCCUCUUCAAGCAUUUUGACCAGUGGAAAUAUGCCUCCACCAUCAGCCAAUGCUCUUGUAUAUUCCAGCACACCACCAGAUAUUAUCUUAUUGAGCUCUAUUACAGCACUUCUCUUAUUUUCAAGAGAAUGUGAGGUCAUCAUUUGCUCAACUAGCCGUGGAAUAGUCUGAUAGAUAAUUAUCUCCAUAUCUAUAUUACUGACACCAUGAUCUCCUGAUAAGCCAGCUCUGGAUUCUAGCUUAAUGAGGCAUGCUGCAAGACAAUCCUUUGACUGAAGGGGGAAACUUGACUUGAGCAUUCUUCUUAGCAGAGAAGUGAUUUUUUCACUGUUUAUGCUGCGGAUGAAAAGAUCAAAGUUCAAUAAUUUCGUGAGUAACCUCACAGCUGCAGACACAGCCUCACUGAGUUCUUCGAUGACUGCACUAGGAGUUUCAUCAAAGUUUUCAGAGUCACUUCUGGUCCCUAUUAUGAAGAGAAACAUAAAGAAAUUUUAGAGAUGAAGAUUAUAUCAAUAUAGCAGCAUUUCAAGGCUUCUGAGAUGGAAAACUAGCAGAAAAUGACAGCAAAUUGUGAUAUCUCAGAAUGCUACUAAAUCAUAAUAUUUUGUUGAAGGAAAUUCCACAAAAACUGAUUCAUUAGCACCAUUCUUGGCUAACACUAUACAUGACAAGCAUAUUUGCAUCAUUAUUUGUAAUGUCAUGUUAUAUUGUUACCUAUAAUACAACCUUAUAAGCACCAAAAGGCACCAUCAUUCCAGGAAAAUUUAUGCAGGGAUGACAACGAUAUAGAAUUGACUGAAAGAUCUUACUAAAUUAUGGCAGUGAAACAAAGAACUAUGGAACAGAAAAUAUAUUUCCAUUAGGGUAGAAAUGAUAUAGCUACCAAAAUUCAGAACUUGAUUAACGUUAAAAGUUGAUGUGCAUGGAUAAAAAAUGAACCUAAUGUAAUAUGGUUGAUAUGAAAACAAAGUUUAUGUUCAUUAUUCCAUUUUUUGCUACAGACCAAUAGACCCCAACAAAUCUUGAUGUUUUCUGGUUGAUCAAUUACUUUUUUGGCGAUUAAUACAUUAUUAAUAGGCUAUUUUUACACUUCAAACAAAUACAUUAAUUUAAUACUCUAACAUACUCAACAUCUUAACGAUAUGUAUAGUAAUUCAUGUCAAGUCAGGGCACUACUAUAAAGCUUUUUAGUGCAUAAAAACUCUUGUCGAAGGUUACUACCAUAACUAUUUUCUGAUAUACAUAAAUGAUACAAGGAAAAGAAAUAAUGUAGACAUUUGUAGAUCCAACAAAAAAGUCAACUAAAAAUUUACCAUGAAUAACCCCUAUUUCAAGAAUAGCUUCGAUUACUGAACCAGUGCAAGCAGCAGUCAUUGCCGUGGCAUGUUGCUCUGAAGCUGCUACAUGGUCUAGUACACAACAGACUCUUGCUUGCAACCUUGGCGAUGCUUCCUUCAGAACUUUCGUUAAGCAUGAGAUAGCAUCAAAAUCGAAGAUCAACUCGCUACAAACAUUGAAAGAAUCACAUCACUACAAUAUUCCAACAGACACUACACCUCAUGAAUGAUAAAGUGUCAGGCUUGUGUGCCCAAAAGAGAAGCAAGAAGCCAAAGAUGAUAGUGCAGAACCAUGGACCACAUAAGUUGUGUCUAAGGAUCUGUGCGCCCCAAAGAGGGAUGUUGCCAAAACUGUAGUAUGUAGAACCACAGCGUAGUAGAUAUGUUCGCCAGCAAUCAUACUCUCAUUGAUAAGUGCAGUGACAGAGAGCAGCAGUAGAAGAGAAAUUGGUGUUACCAUGUUAGCGAAAGACGUGGUUGUGGCGGCAUAUUCAAAUGCUAGUAAGGAACAGAGGUGACAGAUCAAUGUGGCUAAGAAACAAAAAUAAGAUAGGAUUUUUUUUGGGGGGUGGGGGGUGGGGGGAGUAAUAAAACAUUGGCCACGACACUACUAAGGUAUUGGUAAAUAAAAGAGCAAACCCAUUUACAACUCCGGCGUAAAAGAUAACAGUGCAAGAUAACUGGUGGAAACACAAACAAAAUCAAGAGGGACGUCAACAUGCUAUCCACAUGUGCUAGCAGCUUGUUAAGGAGACACCGCAAAUUUUAACUUUUAGAAUGCAAUCAAAUUGGUCAAUGUGCAAGUGGCUGGCACUCUCAAGUGAUGGCAAGCAUGCAAGCCUACCAUGCUCAUGGCAGUGUUAACAAGGCAGGGACUAGGGCGAAUCUAGAUCCAGAGUAAUCACUGCUGAAUGGUUGAUGUCAUGGUGCCCAUGGAUGAGAAGGGAAGAGAAAGACUAGAGGUCAAUGGUAAUGUGGCAAAGCAUGUUGAUUUGGCAUGUUUCUUGCCACCGUGGGCAUGUUUAAAGACAGUCAACGGCCAGCAGUGCAUAAAAAAGCCCAUGAAAACACCAUCAGAGGGCUCUUUGAUAUGGUUUUGAGAGUUAAGAGUGUAAAUUUGACAGUUAAUAGUUAAGGGUGAAUCUAGAUUUUGGGUUCGGCAAUAGUUGAUAUGGGUAAAAUGGAUUACUCCUUCUGGAAAAUACUGACUCUAAAGAGGAUUAGGUGAUCCACUGAUAAGUGUGAGAUUAAAACUCAACUCACAAAAUUUGUACUCCCACUGUUCCAAAUUAUAAGUCGCUUUGACUUUUUUGGUACAUCCAUUUUGCUAUGCAUCUAGAUAAAUUAUAUGUCUAGAUACAUAGCAAAAUGGAUGAACCAAAAAGUCAAAGCGACUUAUAAUUUGGAACAGAUGAAAAUAAGUUAUUUCAUUGAACUGGUUGGUCCCUAUAAGCAGCUUGUUAUGAAAUAAAUUCAUGCUUUUCCCACUACUGAAAAUAACUUAUUCACCACUGGAAAGUGCUUCCUUUAUCCCUAAAACUCAUGUCCCUACAUAAUUGUUAUUUUAGAAAGAAAAAUAUUCAUAUAUUAAGUGUCUCUAUAAUCACAUAUAUAUCUAUAUCUAUACCAUAUAUUAAUUGUGAGUGUUUUGAAGGGCUAAAGACAAAAUAGUUUUAUUAAAUAAUUAACUAGUUUGACAUCUGUCUCGACACUUGAGAUUAAUUGAAGUAUUACAGACACUAACAUAGAAGGAUGAUACAGUAAGUCAGUAACUGAAGACCCAAUUGGUAAUAUGCAUGCAUAAAACUUAAACAUUACUAAUAGAUUGUGCAAGGUCUCACGCAUUUAUAUAAACAAUAUAAAGUGAAUAAACAGUCAGACAUUUAAUGUGGUAUAAUCUUAUACCAUUUUGUCAUAUGUGUGCAUAAAGCUAAAACAACACUUUGUCAUGUUAUAAGGGAAUGAGAACUCAAGAUUUCCCAUGAAACUAUUGAGUAAAUAAAGUCACAUGUGUAGCCACAAGGCCCAAACUAACCUGGCCAUCUCUUGGUUAACAGAUGUCUCGGGAAUUGCAUUGUUUCCACUAUCCUUAUCACCUUCAGUAUCCGGCUGACAAAUCGAGAGCAUUAGAGUACAGCGUUUCAACAUAAAACAAAUGAAAACCAGUGAUGUGCAAAAUAAGCCAGACUCACUGCAGCAACCAUGCAAAUCCCCAUGUCAAACAUUCCAGAAAGUAUAUAAAUUAUCUGCACAGAAACUGCUAAGUUAGAACCCUAGCCAUGACAAUGUUAUUCUUACGUGUAAAAAGGUCAUGUUGAAGGCCAAUACCUUCUCUAGUAGUUCUACUGGGGUAUCUCGAUCCUUGACUAUAUUUACAAACAAUUCUAAUCCACCUUCUGUUUUGAUAUUCCGACAGACUGUGGCACUACAAAGGAUUGUGAAGAAAGAAAUAGUCAAACGAGGAGGAACAUAUGAUAGUAAAAAAUGAAUCCAGGCAUCCAGCAACAAACAGAAGAACAUACUAAAUAUGGUCGAGUAGCGCCCCAAUAUAUAUUAUAUGAUAUUAAAGCAAUUCAUGGCUUAUCAAAUAGAGAACACUUCAACAGUAUCCACAUCUUGAACAGUUCAUGCACAAUGCACAAUUACUUGUUAGUCUAGAGCCAACAUUACAGACAACUAGAGUACUAGAUUUCAUUAUCUGUAUCUUCUGCUAGCCUAAACAAGGAGUAGCGCAAGUGCAUUUGAAUAAAUCUGAUAUGGUGGACUAUUGAUAAAAAAAAAUGGACUGAAUAGGUGCGCGCGCGCACACACACACACAAAAAGGUUCUCAAUAUGUUCCAAAACAUGAAGUGCUUUUCUUCUCAAAUAUGCAGGUGAGCUGCAUACCUUUUAUUAAAGUAGAAGAAAGACUGUACAGAACCGGUCACUUGCGCAAUUGCUUUAGUCAUAGUAACAUAUGCGCCCACAUAGGAAAAUAAACUACUCAACCAAGGAAAAAAGAAACAAACUGGGUAAAAAAAACAAUGUUCUAUAGCCAAACAAAUAGAUACACCUAGACAUAAAUGUAGGUCCAUGGUGCAUGUUUUAAAAGGAGAUACAUCAAUACAUUGUGAAACCUUUGUUUAAAACAGCAACACUUAAACGGCGCAGCAGCACCUCACCUAGCACCUAGGCAUUUUUCUACCUAGAAUAUUUUUAUGGUUGUUUUAUAUAUAUGAAAGUGGGAGAAUUAGAGAUGGAAAAAGAUGAAUUAUGGUCAUAGAGAUCAUGGGUUUAUUAAUAUGCCAAAUUCCUCUAUUUAACAUGACAUUACUCUAGGCAUCAAGAAAAAAAUAUGAUCUCCUAGAAACGCCUUACUGUGUUAUAAGUAGGGAUGAAAACAGAUCGGAUACGAACGGAUAUCACCGAUAUCAUAUUUGUUUUCAUAUUUCUGGUCGGAUUCGGUUUCGAAUACGGAUAAUGUCAAUCAUGUCGGAUAAGAUACAAUUAGAUGUCGACAUCAUAAAUAUACGAUUUAAGUAUUCGGAUACGGAUACAGUAUCGAAUAUUGAAUAUUCGGACUCGGAUACGGACAAAUUUAAACUCCUCUAAACGAAUUCGGUCUCGAAUACGGUCGGAAAAUAUCCGUACCGUUUUCAUCCCUAGUUAUAAGUGACAGCACCCAAACAGAGUUAACUACCUGCAAAGUGAUAUUAAGUUUUGUUCUAAACAACAUUAAGUGGUAUGAUCGCCUUGAUUAAAGACUUUGAAUAAGGAAAGAUAAAGUACCUGACACUUAAUUUUUCCAACGCAUAAGCACCAGCUUCUCUAACAUGUACAUCUUUGUGCUUGAGCAACUGAAGUAGAGGUUUAACAGCCCCAGCUUCCUUGAAUGAGGUACGCAUAUGUUCAUUUAUUGAUGCAUCACCCAAUGCUCUAGCAGCCUUUUUUAUUGCAGAGACAUCUUCCAGUCCAAGGAUUAAAACUAACCGUGCAACACCAUCGACCCAUGGCAAAAUGGUAUACAUGUCAUUCUUUUCAGAUCCAGAUUCCUCUUUUCCUUGAUCAUCCAACUCAAUAGCUCCAACACGCGCAAGGAAUUGCUGAUUAGAACGUCCUAUCAUAGCAUUAAUUUUAGCCUCAUCUGGUUUUGUAUCAUUCUCAUUGAUACUCAAGCCAAGGAGCAGUUCAGUAGCACCGUAUUUUGAGGGACGAGAACUCCGCUGAAUCUCAGAGCCAUCAGGAAAAGAGGGCCAUGAAUGAGGGAGAGGUUUAAAAGCUUUAUAUGCAGCUGAGCCAACCAAAGGAACCCGGACUAGACCCUCCUCUAUUAUAAGGCUGUAGUAACGAUCAUCACCAGCCAGCUGUAUUAGUGAACUUUUAGCUUCCUUUCUAAUAAUCUUAUAGUCAUCUUCUUUCGUUUGCAAAAGAUGAACCUAAAAAAAACAACCCAGAUUAUUAGAUUAUUAUUUGGAACAAAUUUCAGGAAAUAUAUAAUGACAAGUGGCAAAAGCACUUUGCAUUCCAACAAAAUAUUAGCAUGACAUAAGAUUUAAGCAUAUAUCAAAUAUAGACCUAUAUAUUGAGACUUUGCUAAAGUUUCUGAGUAACAGGUCACCAAAAGUUUAAAAGCAUCUCAUAGUAUUGCAAUUGCAAUGGCUUUUAGGACCUCAUUUGAGGAAAAAAAAAAGUUAAAUGAUGCAUGUACCAAGUGUAUAUCCUUAGCAUGGCUAAUACAACAUUUCAUGUUUUCAACAUUUAAGCAAUGCGUAUAAGUGUGCGAUUAUUUGCACCGGUAUCUUGUUACAUUGAAAUUACCAAUUUUGGGAUGACGCCUGCUUCAACCAAAGCUCCAUGAUUAGAGGGACUCAAAGCUAAAUUUGAUAUGAUACCACCAGCAGCCUCUUUGACUUUUAUGUCUUCUUCAUCUAGGUAGCUAACAAUCUUCAUUAGGACAUCGCUCCUCAGAAUCUUGUACCUCCAAUUUUCAUCAAUAGAAAAGUUCCAAAUGGUACACAAACACUGCUCUAGAAUCUGCAAGAGGAAAACAUCAUGUUUGCAAUUUCAUGAUGCAUUAGGUAAUUCAACAUUGUUUUUAUAUGUAUCCUGGUUAUCAACCAUUACCACGCAUGCCAAACAUGGUAAUAGCCAGUUAUAUCACUUUACAGCCAACCUGGAAUGGAGAAAAAGAUCUUGGAGUGGUAGUGAUUAAAUUUGCAGGUACCUCAGGGGUUAUUGUAGAUUUACAGAGAAGACUAAUGAUUUCUUCCAUUGCUCCACUCUCACCAGCCACCUUCCUAUAUAUGUGAACUGAUGUAAUGUUACGCAGAAGACCUGCAGCUGCUUCACAGGCAGGAAUGGACUCUGAUUUCAGGAGGCUAAUGAUGAGAACAAUGCAGCCAGGGAAUUGCAUUAUCUCAUCGACGCUCUUCCUUCCACCAAGGGAGUACUGAUAGAGCGUGCAAACAGCAUGUUCCCUAUCACGUGAGUCAUUGUCCAAGCCAAGCAAUCGAACGAAGAGACCAAGAUAUGCAGACCCAGAAUUUGUGACGCCAGCAGAGUAAUCGACAUCCUAACAAAAUCAACCGAUGUAUUGAGACGAUAGCAACUCUGAAAGAAAUUGCACUUCAAGAAAGUCCAUUCUGAAUUUCAAAAGUUCAAAGCAACUGAAGUGAGCUAUAAAUAGUGUGGUACAAACAUUAUCUUUUAGUAGAAAGCGAAACGCCCACAUGUAAAACUAAUUUCAGAAUUUUGUCAGUUGCAUUCCAAAACAUCCUGAAAAUUGCUGGAAUACCGCAAUUUCUUGCUAAAAUGGAGCAAUUAAAGCAUUAUAUGGACAUUAAGGUUCAGAGUACACAAACAUUUCAGAGUUUUUUUUUUCUAAAAAAAAUAUUUAUCUAUUUUUGCAAAUUCCUGAGGACUGAAUUUGAGCAAACACCACGAUGGCGUGUCAGGAGGGCUGCCAGGAGCUUACCUGUCCUGAAGGACCCUCCCCGGAGGCGAACGCGCCGGCAAGGAGAAGACGGCGGGCGCGGGUAGUGCCACACGAGGGCCUGGCCGGAGUAGCAGAUAGAAGUAGGUGGCGGCGGAGGUGAAAGCGACGGCCAAGGUGGUGGUAGCGCGGCAGAUGGGAGAUGGUGGGGGAUGUGGCGGCGACCGCCGGCAGCAUGGCGACAGAGAGAGCUCGGCAAAGAGUGCUUAGUUCCGCGGGCGCGUGGGUCGCGAUAGGAUUCCCAGGGUGUGUUCUAGAAGAGCAUCAAACAUUUCUCCAGGCUUCUAGAGUAGAACGCCCAAAAUCGUACUACGUACAAUGUGGCCCAGGAAUCCUAUCUAGCGGCCCAAGUACGCUCAUCACCUUGUUUUGUACACGUACGACCAUUUCUCACAAUUCUAAUAAAACAAUCUAUGCUAAUCUAAAAUAUGAAAAAGGAACCACACAACUGGUUUAUGUUUUAUGCAAAAUGUAAAGUGGUCUUGAGACCACACCCCAAACUUUAGCUGCGCGUGCGGCAAACCUUGGUUGGGCCUUGUUUAGUUAUAAAAAAAUUUGUAAAUUUUUUUAGAUUUUCUGUCACAUCGAAUCUUGCAACACAUACAUGGAGCAUUAAAUAUAGAUAAACAAAAAUGUUACUGUGUUUAUUUUAUAAAAAAAAUUGGAACUAAACAAGCCCUUAACGUAGGAGACGUCACCAACUAAUGUACCAAGCGAGUAAAAAGAAAAACUAAUGUACCCCGGCCUCUCCCAACUAAACAUUUGACUUGAAACUGGUAUCUUUGCAUUGUGGGUUAUCCGUGACAUGGUGGCCUAUUGACUGAGGCAUGAAUAGGAUCGAAGGUUUGUGAUCUAGGCUUCAGUUUGGGCCCUCGGGGAAUUUCUACAGUCGGGAUUCUUUAAAAAAAAAAGGAUUUUGCUUACUGUUUUAUGCAAGGGCAGUGGAGUUCGGAUUCCUAUAGAAAAAUUAGGAAUUUUGCCUACUAUUUUAUAUAACAAUACCGGAUGCCGGGUCCUAAACCCUAAUGUGCUUUGUGGGACCCAUUUCAGCGGGACACGUAUGUCGAGGUUAAGAGAAAAAUGACAAACGAAAGAGUAAAGAGGGGUUUGGUUGAGAGUGUUAAAAUUUAACAACAUUUUUAUUUUAUUUGGUAAUUAGUAUCCAAUCAUAGACUAAUUAGACUCAAGAGAUUCAUCUCACAAAUUAUUCUCUAGUCGUGUUUUUAGUUUUUUAAAUAGUAUAUAUUUAGUAAUCUAUAUAUGUCUAUAUAUGUGUCCAAACAUUCGAUGAGUAAAAUAGACUAAUUUGGAUUUUGGAUGACCAUUUAGCUCUUUCCUCAGAUAAGUCUGCUCUGCAUUUGGCCCCUUGCACAACUGCAGCCCAUUUGGAUCAUGAGAUGGUUUGCUAAUUUCUUAACUAGGCUAUAGCUAAAAUGACUACUUUGUAAAUUCUGCAAUACAUAAUAUUGAUAAAGGAACCAUAAAAGCUACUAUGACUGUCGGAGAAACACUCAAGUUGAGCCUAUUCGCUUGGUAGAAAAGUCAUGGCUAAAAGUACUGUUCGUUGAUUUAUUAUAAGAAAAAAAACAUUACUGAAUAGACAAAUUCAACAAAUAAACUCAAACGAACAAGCUGUGAAUCUCGUAGUGGAGGGACCUCAGUACUAACCUAAAGGAUCUAAUCAAGUGAAUAAACUUGUAGUUAGAAGACUUAAGUACUUUACAAAUGUGAGGCGCUACCCUAUCUGUACAUUUAGGUAUAGAUUAACUAGGCAUAAAAUGUACAUGUUGAUGUUACAUCACUGAGUAAACUUUAUAAAUCCAAGUUUAUAGUAGCAGUCUGCACGUAUGAAGUAGCAGGGUAUGUAUUGUAUCCAAGGGGACCAUGAACUAUCAGAAACCAUCCGAAAAGCCAUGCCCAUUUUUCGCACAAUAAUAAAAAAAAGAAACAAAAAGGCCCAUGGUAACCCAACCCCAUAACCUAGUCAUUUUAGCAUCAUCAAAAUGAAAUUACGAUUCUAAGAACUAUUGAAAAAGUUAUUGUAUAGUUCGAACAAACUAUGACAUCAUUUUAGCUUACCAGAUAAUACACUGAGAAAAUAAACAUAACAGGCACCAACUUACAAGAUGAUUAUCCUUGAUAACAUAACUCGUUUUUACGUGUCAGUAAUAUCUUUGCCAUCUGCCGGAAAGGAUGUAACUGGAUAUAUUAAUCAUCGAUUAGGCUAUGCUCCAGGAGUAUCUUUCCAUACUGCUUACAGGAAGUUCCUCUGAACAGAACCAGAUGCGAAACGGGAAGUUAAUCCUUGUGACAUGUUCUCUGGGUCUAAAGCUACCUUUUGGCGCCCAGCAGUCAGAUCCUUCUCCCGGUCCCAUGGCUUCCAUGGGUGGUUUCCCUCCCAUUCUUCUUUCUCGUGCUGUUUUUGUUUCUUUUUCUCCUUUUUACUCUCUCGGUGCUUCUGCACAAGAGACACUGAUCUUUUGGAGGUAUUGUACUUAUCUACAAUUGAAGCAUCCGGGUUUUUGCUCUUUACAUCCUCGCCUUCUGCAAUCGCCUUUGUCUUAUUGUAGGCUUCUAGAUAGCUGCAAGAGAGUCUAAUCCAUUAGCCCAUGUACAUUGGUAUUGGUAUUAUUUAAAGAUGCAAUGGGGACAACGCGUAAGCAAACUGAUGCCUCCAUUACAAUGUUGUUUGCCUGCUGACUCAAACAACGAUGGCAGAUUCCAUGAGUUUAAUUAGUUGGCAACGAAAACAGUUUACAAUCAGCUGGUUUAUAUUAAGUUUGUGACAUCCAAUCCAUGCACUUACGCUUCCAUUGUCAUACGAGCAAAAGGCAUUAUGUACUACUGCCAUUAUAUUUCUACCGUUCGACCAUUGAAAUACUAUAGCAUGGUAUACAUAAGUGACAAUACAUGGAAACACUAACUUCAAUCCUGCUUAACUAUCUUACAAUGAUCAACAAAAGCUUGUUUUACAAAAGGAUGAUUUAAUUUUCAUGAUUUGUUAUUAGUAGUGGGCAUAUUGACGCAAUAAUGUGCAAGUCUAUAAUAUUUAAGUGAAACAACUACAUAUGCAAACCAAUGUUCUACAAAACUUGUAACAUUCAUGCCUUUAACUAGUUUUAACCUGGAACUUCCCGCUCCUGGUGUUAGCCUACUGCUGGAAAUUCUUCAAAGUUCAAAAUUUCAACUAGGUUUUAUCUAGUUUCAAGGAGGAACCAGUCAUUAGUCAUUAAAAUAGUAGCAGCCUUCAGGUUGUUCAGGGACGGCAACCACAUGAUACAGAAAUGCCAUUAUUUUUGCCUCAGUGCGCAGUUGCUGCAAGUUUGUGUGAUAUUUUGCAUUUUUUGUCAUUGCUAAAAGCAAAGUUGAUUUCGACAACUUCUAUAUGGAAGUGGAAUUUGAAUAUUGCUUAGUGUGAUGGCUCUGCAUGUAGAUUGCAAUGCACUAUUGCCAACUCAGCUGCUAUGUGGCCUUUUUGUCCUGUGUACUGAAUUACUGAUGCCAAAUAAUUCUCUUUACCAGUAUUGCCACUGCACUAGCAGGCAUGAAAAAUAACAAACUAUCAUAAAAAGAACUAAACUGCUUCAUAAGUGUUACACAGCUAGAGAGGGACUUAGUUCGGUUGGCCCUUUAGGCAUUGCGCCCAUGCAUGAUCUGUAAGGUUGAUUGAUGAUUUGUUGUAGGCAAGGAUGCCCCUCGUUGGCCCAGAUUCUAUUAGCCAAAAAAGAAGAAGAAAACCCUAGGACAAUACUUGCCUAUAUAUCAUUGUAUUAUUGCCUCCUCAUAAUCAAUCUACUAUUCCUGCGCAAUUCCGUUGCUUUCUGGAUUUGGUGGGCGGUGUGGUUUUUGCAACUGAGUGUCCCUCAUCAGCACCAUUGGAAGCCUACAAAAUCUGGAUCCUACUCUAGCAAGUCAGCCUACACUGCCUUUUUCUUGGGAACUAUCAAGUUUGGUCCCUGGAAAAUUUUGGAAAAGCUGGGCCCCUCUCAAAUGCAAGUUCUUCCUUUGGUUAGCCAUCAAUAACUGGUGUUGGACGGCCAAUCGCCUCGCCAAGCGCAGGCAGCCCCACCAGCCUGCUUGCCCCUUUUGUGAUCAGGCUGAGGAGACAAUCCAGCACAUCCUAAUCUCUUGUGUGUUUACCCAGCAGGUUUGGACUUUGGUGUUUCAGAAACUUCCAAUGGCGACUUUGGCACCUCCAGCUGAUGCAACUCGUUUCUUCAGAUGGUGGGACCGUGGGAGAACACCAUCAGAAACUCCCUCAAAGAGAUUUGCAAGGGGCUUAAUUCCCUUAUUAUUUUGGUGACCUGGGAAUUAUGGAAAUUUAAGAAUGCUUGUGUUUGAGGGAGCUCCCACUAAUAUUCAGAAUCUUCUGCACAAGGUCGAUGAUGAAUGUAGCACUUGGUGACUUUUCUGGUUGGCAGUAUGAUCCCCUUGGUCGUGUUCUUUAGUCAGUAGCAUGUGGCGUGUAGACAACCAGGUUUGUGUGGCGUUUUUGGGGGGGCUGUUUUCACCUUGCUCUUUUACUCUUUUUCCUCUAGUAGUGAAAUGACACAGAACUCUCCUGCGUAAUUCGAGGAAAAAAACAGUAAGCAUACCUUUGUUGUGCUUUUUGUGCUCUAUCAAGAGGGGUAUCAGUCCAGACACUUGUGUCUCCACGUCCUUCUUUACCAUUCAUACUAAAUGAUUUAGUUGAAUGCAUCGGCACUCCUGCCUGUGACAAGAAAAAAAAUACAUAUAUAUAUAUAAGAUAUCACAAUAAAGUAAGCAUACUUUGGUGGAUUGUAGAUAAAAGAAAAUUACAUAAGUAAAUAUUUCUAUCAUUUACUUUUCUCUCUGGUGGCAAUGUGGUCAUCCAUUCAUCUCUCUUAGGUGCCUGUGACUCUUUUGGACCUGCUAAAAGUUCAUCAUCACCUGCAAGUGAUACACCUGCAAGCAAAAAGAGGAUGACAUCAUAUUUAUCCUUGACAUCCAAUAUCUUCACAAUUACCAGCUAUGACAAACUUUGAACAAAAAUAUAAUGAUCAAUGAAAUCACGUACAUCAAAUCUGGGCGCACAAGCAGACAAAAAAAUUGAAAAAGAGGUUACAACAUCUUAUGGUGGUAAGUGUAUUGUGCACAGGGCUAAAGUACACAUAACUAUUAUAGUCAACACAAUCACCAGCAUGUGCAUGGAGCGUAGUAUGUGAAAUUUACUUUAUCUUAUAAUUCAAGCUUUAUGGAGAAGCCAGAGGUCCAUUCAACAGUGUUUGAUUUGGAAGCUAGUAUGUAAUUAGAGACAAAAAAUCAUUUUUGUUAUUAUGAUAGUUAAUUUGAUAAUGUUGUGUUGUUUGCCUAAGUGAUAUUCUGCAUAGGAAUUCAUAGCAGCCAGUAAGAUCUUCUCAUAUAAAGAACAACUGUAGAUUGAAAUUUGUACCCCAAAAAGAAUGUUGCUACAUGCUACAGUACAUAGCAUCAAAUUAUAUCUAAAUUUAUUUUGGAAUAUUGAUAUUGGUAUUGCAAUAGUUUACCUUGUAACCGUCUCCAUUCCGCAGCCUCACGCAUUGCUUUAAGCUCAAUCUAAAAAGUAAAGAAAUGGGAUAAACAGAAUAAAAUACUUAUCUGUUUCAUUCUGACCAAUCAGUAAGCAACAGAUAUUCUACAGAAGUAAGAAGUUUACCUCAAAUUGUUCCAUCUCCUCUUUCUUUUUUAUUUUCUCAUCUAUUGCACCUCUCUGCAAAUCAAGAAAAUGCCAGAAAUAAAAAAUGUAAGCUACAUUGAGGGAGGGGGGGCAUUGAUUUUUUACUAAUCAAUGAAAAGAGAGACAAACUAAGCUGGAAACUUCAUCAAAAUUUUUAUCUCUUCAAUAGUAUCUUUUUUAAUGGCCACAAUAUAUAUAUAUAUAUAUAUAUAUAUAUAUAUUAUUUUCUCCAAAUAAGACAAAUGUAAUAGUGGUUCUGUACUUGGCAAAAUUCUGCAAGUGAACUUCGAUAGAAAGAUGAACCUAGUUUCAGUGUGUGGAAAACUCAUGUACCUUAUCAGGGUCUUGUAAGUCUUUGAAGGCAUUAUUUAAUUUCACGAAUGCCUCUUGUGCUAAAGGAUGAGGACAUUUGUCCGGGUGCACUAAAAGGGACAACUUCCAAUACCUACAGUAUAAAAUAGGAGGAUUAGUCACUUAAGCAGAAAAUAGAAAAGCAAAACAUAACUAAUGUAGCAUGAUGUGAUAGGUUUAUGACAUAGAUAACAAAAUGGAGCCACUUUCUUCAUGGGCACUUGUAGCAAGACCUGUAAAAGCCUAAAAGGUACUGCUAUGAAUUUUCACUAUUUGUGUCAACAAUAGUCCCAACUCCCAACAACCUACAGAACAAAUACUACAUGAACCAUUCUAUUAUCUUUGCAGUAAGAUUUGAGGUAACAUUUUUAUUAUUAAAACAAAUUAGCUGUGAAAAUGAAGAGCAUACAAACACCUUUUCUUCAUGUUAUCAGUUGACAUCUUCCAAUUUACCCCCAGAACAUCAUAAGGUGAAUUUGUGUCAGCUGCCAAUAUUCGAGUAACCUACCAAAAACAUCCAAAAGAAAGGUCAACAAAUUGCUGGAACGUAUUAAAGCAAAACUAGAUAUUUAAUUGAAAAAGGAAAUUAGAAUUCAGAAAAUAAUCAUGUUGUUCAUUAGAUGUUUAUUGAAAGUGACAGAAACAAACUACAAGAAAGAACUUCGCCUUCUAAUCAAUCAAAAGGAGAACUCGCAAAAUCCUUUAGAUCCUAAUCCCAAAGUAUCACAACAGGACCUGAAAGUUGUUUAUAAUGUCGAUUACAGUUAUACAAGCAAAGUGGCACAUAUUAACCACAAUUUGUGCUAGGAUCAAAUAUUAAAAUAUAUGUGUUAUCAUCCAGAAUAACAAAUUGACCCCAUAGGCAGCAGAGACUAGCUGAUUGCAAGGUAAAUAGGAAAAGCACAUAGCAAGGAUCAAUGAGGACACAUUAUACUAACUGCUGUGAAAAUUGCAAACAGCAAAGAUAACUCGAGAAAGUGCACAGCAAAAGAAUGGAUGAACUUUAAAAUAACAUAGGUACUUGGCACUGCAUUGCUCCAAAACUAUUAAUGGUGGAAUAUCAUUACUGACAAUGUACCUCUUCAAAUCGCUCAGCUUCAUUUGCAGAUGCAGCUUCAGCGACUACAGCUGGCGGUGGGGGGCCUAUGAGCAAAUCAUCAUCGGCUUCCAGUUCAGCAUCCCUGGUUAGGACAUUAAAUGAAUGAAAUUUUGCCUAACCAUUGUUUGACACAUGAAUCUAAGCUAAACAUAUCAGACUAAAAACAAGAACAUAUCAGACUCAAAACAAGAAUAGAUCAUUACCGGCACCUAAGAGCCUCUGUCAUUUCAGCUGCUGCAGCCAGUAAUUCACGAGAUGGCAUUGCAGGACCGAUUACCCUGCACAGAGCAAAACAUUACAUUGGGUAACAAGUUGGGCAGUAAUCAGACAAGAAAAGAAUCAUGUUGUGUCGGGUAACAAAUUUAAGAAGGAAAUGGGCAUUCCAUAAACACACAGCCACACUAGACAGCAUAACGCCAAACCUACUACAUUAGAACCUAAAACAGUUAUGUCAAGAGAAAACACAGCAGCAAUAUACUUCAACUACACCGCAUGUGCAGAACUCAUCAAAGAACUCACAGCAACUCACUACUCACAAGAGCUCAACCUCAAUCAAGCAACCAAAAAACGCAACUUGAAUCAAUCAUGGGAGCAUAAAGACCUCGUCGAUCACUAUGCAGGUUUGAUAUGGCUAUGGCUGCCACGGUUAUCGAAGCAUGAAGCGCAUGGGCCAUGAAGACUGCUCUUCGUGGGCAGGCUCGGUCCUGAUGUAGCCUACAGUAGCUUAAUGGCGCGACCACACGAGACGAGGGACGUCAAGGCUUGGUGGCACUUGGUCCUAGCAGGGGACGAGACGAAGGACAUCGAAGCCUGGCAGCGCUUGGCCCUGGCGUGGAACAUGGAGAAGCAGAGAAAGGGGGAGGUGGAGUGCUGCCACAAGGGAGAGGUCGAGCGCGGGACAAGUUCAUGGGAUGGCUGGGGAUGGGGGUCUAUGGCAAUGGCCAGAGGCAGCCAACAGAUGGUGAUGGGGUCUGUCCUGGAGGUUUUCGUGCGAUUCCCCCCCCCCCCCCCUCCCACCCGAUUUUCAAGUUUUAGGAAGCUAACUAUUGGGGGGGGGGGGGGGGAGGGGGGGAAGGCAAUUCCUAUUUGGUAUCCACAAACUCGCUAGAUGGGGACGGACAGGAGGGCCAUGAUGCACGGUGGCAAGGUUCAUCAUAGCCCCUCAUGGGAGGGGCAAGUGGUGACGAAUCCUCGCAACCCAGUUGACACCCACCUGUCUCGCUAGGUUUCGUUCAGUGGGGAUAUGAUCAUGUCCUUGCUCCUGCACACCAGCAUCAAGAAUAUAUGCUAAUAGUGGGAAUGUGGGAUACUCUGGCAUUAUAGUGAAGCAGACAUUAACAUGCAGUAAUUGAAAAACUCAUGUAUUGUUGUUACCUAAAGUAACUGAAAGAAGAACACAUCUGAUGCAACUAUCUAACCAAAUAAGUAUAUGGCCAAGAAUACUUCUAUCAUAUUUACAUGUAUGCAAUGAAAUUUAUCAGGAAUACUGCAGCAGAAUAAAUUGUGACACCCAAUGUUACCUUCUUUUAGGAGGUUCCUCUUCCACACCAAUAAUUUUCGGCUCUUCGGAAAUAGAGUCAUCUUUAUCUUUAUUUUGCACAUCAAAGUUAGCCUGUGGUAGUUCUUCUCUAUAUGGUGAUACUGACUUUUCACUUUUGUUGUCUGAAAGUUUGGAACCUGCUAAUAGUAAUGAUCCAACAAUAUCAAGUGUAGGAACAUUUUUUGGAGGCAGCAAGUAAGCCCCACUUGCACUUUCUUUCAGUCUCAGAGAUCGGAAAAGUUUCUUCAAGCGCUUCACCAAUGGCUUGUCAGAAAUUCCAGAAAUAUCAAUGCCUUCACCACUGUCUAUCAUUUGGAGAAGCUGAAAGUUCGCAUCAUGAGUUAUCUUAAGGACAGAACAUAAAAAUUACACUAAAAAAGCAUGUGGUACAAAUAUACACAUUAAAUAUAUUCAGGAAAAAUAAUAUUACAGCACAAAUAGAUUGCAGACUUCACAUUUUAUUUUCAGUGGCAUAUUAAAAAUUGAAGAGAGUUAAUGUAACCAAUACUUUUGGACAAAUGAAGCCACCAUAGUCAAUAGAAAACAGUAAGUAUGAAGCUAAUAGCUAGAAUAAUGUUUCAUACUGUUAGAUGUCUUAUAAAUAUUUGUAUUUCCCCAUUGUAUAAGGGGUUUGGUGUAUAUUUGCUAAUAACUGUACCUGUAUAUAUUUGGGCCUAGAGCUCUAAUAAUGAAUAUAAGUGCUAUUCAGAACACAUACAGCCACUUCUAUACAUAUCUAAUACAUAAAUAUAUCAUGUUAUUAAGUAUUAAGUAACGUCAAUACUAUUAUGCCAUUUAGAAGCCUAAAAAGGCAGUAUAAAUAUAAAAUUUUAUUUAACUUUCAAAGACUCAAUGUAUAAAAAAAUGCACCCAGAAAGAAGCUCAAAUUUUCGUCAUGCAAAUUGAUCACAAAGAUAAAGGGUAACUCUGCCAGUCACAGUUGCUGAUUUUCAGCAUGACAACUGCUGGUUGAAAUGGCAGAGUUGAACUAACUCGACAAUGGAAGUUAGUAAGAAAUUAUACAUCCACAUUAAUUUCAGGAGACACGAGUUGAAAUAACUCAGCCUACAUACAUGAUUCAAAAGUAACAGUUGUAACUGCCAAUAUAUUCAUUAUCAUUAUAUCUUUCAGAUUGAACAUUAUGCCAUGCGUUUUGGUUCUUGAUUAUAAGCACAUCAACCAAGCAUCAAGAAUACAAAACAAAAAAUAUAGUUUAUAUUAGGAUGAUUUCCAGGAAGUGAACUAGGAGGCUAGGAGCUGAAAAAAUUAGCUUCCCCUGAUUCACUACUAGCCAAGAAUCACUUUUAGUCUAUAGUUUAUCUCAGAGAAUCCAAGAGAAUCGCUUCUCUCAGAAAAUAAGAAGCAGAGCAGGAGCUCUAUUUUGGAAUCAAGAAAAAGUUAGGAUGAUUGCAUGACAUAUCAUGAAGCUUCUAUUCUAUGUCACUUAGUAUGGAAGGAGGAAUCAUUUCAGACUCUGCUGCAUUUCCGUAGGAAUCUUAUAGCUACUGCAGGCUUGUACGUAAAAAGUACCAGAGAGUGAACACAAUCACAAAUCAUCGCCCUCACAUGUAGUAUAUGUGGGUUAUCUAUGGAUGCAGAGUUAUUGCAUUCGUAUAAAGUAACUGUGUUUUACAGAUUUUCUAGCACUGUAAUUGUGGAAGCCCAGACAUGGCCCGUUGUUCAACUUUCCGAAACUACAACUCUAGGCUAAAAAUAAAUAAAAAAUAUAAGAAACCCUACCUGGCGAAGCUCUCCGGCUACGGCCGGCAAUUCCCUGAGGAUAUCUCGGACGAUCUCCCGCGCCUCCUCCGCCCUAUCCUCCUCCGACGAUUGGGAGUCGGAGGACCCGCCACCAUCCCCACCGUGCCGCUUUCUCUCCUGGUCCCGUCUUCUCCGAUGCCGGCGGCGGCGGUCCUCGUCGCGGGAGCUCCGCGACCGGCCGCUGUCCUUGCGGCUGUGGCGGUGGCGGUGGCGGUGCGAUGAGGAUGAUCUACUCCGCUUGCUGCUGCGGCUCCGUCGCUCAGGGCUGCUGCUUGGGGAGGACGCCGAGGAAGGGGAGUCGGAAUCCGAGGAGGGGGAGAGGGAGGCGUCGCGGGAUCUCUUGCGGCUCCGGCGCCUAGUCUCCUUCCCGUCUCUUGCCAUCUCCUGUUUCCUCAACUUGGGAUGCUGGGGGAGGAGAGGGGAACGACAGCACGAGUUUGAGCUUGAAUUUUCUGAGUUUGAGGGCAAAACGCAAAAUGGUGGGAGCAACGAGCAGGACGCCCCGCGGCGGUGGCUAAUGGGUAUACUCGCUCUUUCCCAAAUUAAGUGUCAUUUUUUUUCUGGUGUAAUUUUGACUUGAUUUAUAAAAAUAAGUAUAAUAUUUAUAUCUUCAAAUAAAUUUGUUAAAAAACUAGAUUUAAAGAUCUUUCCAAUAAUACUAAUUAUGUAAAUAUUAAUAUUUUUUAAUAUAUAUUUAAUCAAAGUUAUUUCUUGUAAAGCGAGAAUGAUAGUUAUUUUGUGACAGAGGAAGUAAGCUAUAAGGACUUGUUUAGUGGACGAGGUGAAAAGUUUUUAGGUAUUGUAGCAUUUUUGUUUUUAUUUAGCAAUUAUUAUCUAAUCAUGGACUAACUAGAUUUAAAAGAUGUAUCUCGUAAAUUAUAACAAUUAGUUAUAUUUUUAUUUAUAUUUAAUAUUUUAUACAUGUGAUUCGAUGUGACGGGAAAUUUUGAAAUUUUUUUGACUUUUGGAGAAAACUAAACAAGGCCUAAGAUUUUCUCAGAGCACAUUUGUCUUGACAGUUCCAGGGUUGGGGCUCAUUCAUCUUCACGGCUGAUCUAUGGAGCCCAUCCGAUCCUAGAGAUUCGCGGUAUGUCUAGCUGCCUCUGACGAUUUGCCAUCCGAUCCGCUGAUCUAUGGAGCCCAUCCGAUCCUAAGAUUGCUCGUUUUGCCGGCCGUAUUUUUUUUAUUUAUUAGUAGUAGUUUUUUUAUAAUAAAUCAGACAACAAUAAUUUCAACAAUAAUUUCAGCUAUGAUUCAGAUCAGCAAACAGAGCCUAAGUGUUCUGGGUGUCAUCGUAUUCCCUCACUGGUCCCGGGUGUCCUGGCACAAACGGUGGCGGAGGGAUUCUCGAAAGUCUUAAGUUUUUUUAAAAGAAUUGAAGUUCUUAUAUGCUGUUACAUCGAUAGAUACCAAGUAUUGACAUCUGACCCAUGGUGUACGUUAUAGUGUAUAGUUUCUUUUGUUGCUUGACAAUUUGUUCAUUUAGGCAUGCUGUGCUUUUCCAAGAACCUCAUUAAUUAUUUCACUCGAAAAAUAUAUACUUUUUUUAGAGUUUAUGUUUUUUUCUUUUCUGAUACUCUAAUUGACAUAAGGAAUAUAAUUAGUACUACUUGUGUUCAGCCCUGGUCCACGUUUAUUUUUUGGGCUUUAGCUGAAGAUGGAAUGAUAGGGUGUCUUUAGUUUCUGUCAACUUCUAGGUCUUGUUUAGUUCACGAGAAAUUUUGUAAAAUUAUUUAGAUUUCUUGUCAUAUCAAAUAUGGUGGCACAUAUAUAUAGUAUUAAAUAUAUAUUAAAAAAUAACUAAUUAUAUAGUUUAUUACAUAAUUUAUCUGUAAUUUACGAGACAAAUCUUUUGAGUCUAAUUAAUCUAUGAUUAGACAAUAUUUAUCCAACGAACAAAAGUGCUACGUGUCUAUUUUGUAAAAAAAAAUGCAACUAAACAAGGCCCUAGUAUGACUAGAAUUUUAGCGUGGGUAGCUUUAGUCUACUCCCACCAAACUAAUGUCUAUAUUAUGGAAGCCUAGCUAGCCUCACGUUCGUGUUUGGUUGCCUCUUCGAAUUGAUAAGCUUACCCCCUGGAGAGAUUUCGUCGAACAUGUGAUGAACAUCCUAGGCGAGCAGCAGCACACGGCAGCGGCGAGCAACGGGCAACACACGGCAAAGAUUGCACGACGAGCACGGUGGCACCAAUUGCUAGCACGACGAGCACCUCAGCGAGCAUGGAUUGCCUGACACGGCCUCCUAGAAAGCACCUCGGCAAGGCCAUCGCUCCUGCCGCCCACGAAGAAGAGAAGCUCGGCCACCACUGACCACUCCUGAAGAGGAGCUCCCAUCACGGCGGCAUGCUCGAAAAGAUGGUCGCCAUGCUACGGCUGCCGAUUUGCCAGAUUCGCUAGAGGAAGACCAGAUGCGCCAGAUUCGUUCUCGAGCUCCUGGCGAAAGGAGGAACAGAGGACUAUUUCAGCGGUAGUACCACAUGUGGACUCCAGCGGGAGGAGGACGAGCUCCUGGCUACUGGGUGACCACCGCCGCGCCACGAGACGUCCACUGCACCACCACGUGAUUGGUAUCACGAGCCAGGUUAUUGUUGCAAAGAGCCAAAGAAAUUAUAAAUUGACAGGUGGUUUAUGGAGAGACCAUCUAGCCACCAUUGAGGUCUUGCCAUGGCCAUUGCGGCACUGACCAAAGAAUUAUAAACUGGUAAUGAAGAAAACUUCAAGAUUAAUGCAAGAAUGGAAAAGGCCUCCUGGUCCUGGGAGUAAGGUUAUGGUGAAUGUUAAUGUAGCUUUUGAAGAAAAUGAAGGUGGUGGAAGUGUUGGCUCGAUCAUGAGAGAGUUCUGGAGCUGUGCUAACAGCACUCACAAUCAAUGAAUAAAGUUUGCUGUAUUGUUUUUUUUUUAAAAAAAAGCGCGAAGAAAUCUCCAAAUCGCAUGAUGGUCCGGGAAACCGUAGCAUCUCGAUCGCUUGAACACUGCAUUUUAUUCCUCCAUCAUCAUAAACAUGACAUCCAACCUAGACAUCGAGCAUGCAGUACAUCCUUCACUCCGAUCAAGAAAGACGCAUACAGUACAGCAUACUACACUGCAUGUACCAACAAGACGACACACAUGCACAUACAAAUAAAGCACAACACAUAUAACGACUAGCUAGAGCUAGCACGGCGACCAAGACUCUACGGCAGCGUAUAGUACGUACGUAGCAGCAGCGGCAGCCGUAGGGCCAUGCCGCGCCGGCGGUGGUCGCGCGCCGCCGCCGUACGUACGCCACCCCGCGCGCGCGGUAUCCAGGAGCAGGAUGACACGCGGUCCGCUCUCGCGCGUGUGCAUCUCAAGACCCCUGCGCCUGGUCGAUGCGGUGCUGCGCUGCGUCCUUGAUGUCGCGGGCCUUGGACGCCAGCCUCGCCUUGGCGUGGUCCAGCUGGUCGGCGCCCGGCGGGUGCUUGCCCGUCAGGUACUUGUACAUCCAGGAGAAGACGGACAGCGCGGCGACGCCGAGGCCGCCGGAGGUGACGAACCCGGCGGCCAUGAGCGCCAGCGCGAUGGCGGCCGGCACCAGCACCGGGCUGAAGAUCACCAGCACCGGGGUGGCGACCGUGAGCGCGAUCACGGUGCCCGCCAGGAUCAGCCCGGACAGCACCAGCAUCGACCCGCCGAAGGUCGCGGCCGUCGCCGCCUUGAUCGCCGUCAUCAUGGCGCCCUGCUUCUGCUGCUGCUGCUGCGACUCGCCGUACAUGCCGGCGCCGCCCCCACGGUUGUAGUCGCCGUAGCCACCCGCGCCACCUCCCGUCCCGCCCCGGUGGUGAUCCGCCAUGGCAAGCUGCUUAGCUUAGCUUAGCAGAGCGAGCUAGGUAGUACCACCACGUGCGCACACUGCCCAGAGCGCCUGCUGCAGCUGAUGCUACGGCUACGAGUGAGGUGGACGAGGGCCAGGGAGAGCGGGGCGUUUAUAGAGGGCGUGGGGAUGCGCGGAGGCGGGACCUGGCGCCGCCGCGUGGGACGCAUGCGAGACUCGUGUCCGGAGCCGCGCGACACCUGUGUAGGGGGGGUGUCGACGAGACGACAAGGCGUGCGUUGCGCGAUCGCGCCGCUUCCGCGCGGCGAUACGUACGAGGUUGUGGACGGACGCUCACUUGGAUCGGCCGCUGGUUGCCGGAGGACGGAGGUGAAGGUGACGGGGCCGAAUCUCAUGUGGGCCGUAGUCUGGGCUUUUUUUCUCUCUUGCCUUGCGUGUCUCUGAAGUCCAGUUCCGUGUCUCGCUAUUAGCAGGCUUGCAAUAGUCUGGGUCCAUGCAAUAAUUUGUGUGCCCGUUGGCCCAUUCGUUCACCUCACACCAUAUGCUCCAUUUUUCUUCUUUUUUUUAUUAAUUAAAAAAAGAAGUGUUUGGUACAGUAUGGACUUCGCCUGAUUCCGAUGCUGGCGUGUAAAGUCAGGAGGCCUUGGAAACUGAAAAGCUCUGACGAGGAUACUAGGCGAAAGGGAGACAGGAAUCAACGUUUUGGAGCCGUUCAAACCGCUGCUAGCAGCUAGCAUGCCUUGCUUUUCGAGAUGAACCACUGAAGCUAAGCUACUACUAGCAUCAAGCUGGGCACCUAAUUUCGACAUUAUUGUGUCCCUCCCCGUUCUUAUUGGACUAGGUGGAGCGGUGACACAUAAGAUCAGUUUCUUCUACCGGUCAAAAUCGAUCUUCCAGAUUUUGGCUGCAAAUUUGCUUCGCUUCAAGUGUGUUCGUGGUAAAGGGCAUGUUUGGUGAAGCUCUAUCUAAUUCUGAUUCUUGGUGAAAAGUGAUUAUGUGACUUACAGUGAUUCUCUUCGAUUCUUUAAUAUAAACUCUUAAAAUCACAGUAGAGAAUGACUACACAGAAUCAAUAGAAACUACUUUUUACAGCCUCUUAGUUCAUUUCAAAAAAUUAUUCAACACAGAAAAUCAAUUCUCUCUAAAAAAAACUCUGUUUAGCAGAGUUCUUAUUGGAUUUAGUCCACAAUAAGCUUGGGAGCUUUGCUAAUCGGGACCUAAAAUUCUCAUUGCGUAGGACAAUGCCUUCCACGUCAAACCUAUGUGGCUGGUGCCCUGCCACUCCUUUGGCAGCUUGCCCUGUGCACAGCUGCAUUUGCUUGGUGCUAUACCGUAGUACUUCGAUGGGAACAGUUCCGCUCCAAUUAAGGGCUUGUUUACUUCCAAUUUUUUUUGCAAAAUAGGAAUAGUAUCACUUUCGUUUGUAUUUGACAAAUAUUGUCCAAUUAUAGACUAACUAGGCUCAAAAGAUUCGUCUCGUCAAUUUCGACCAAACUGUGCAAUUAGUUUUUAUUUUUAUUUAUAUUUAAUACUCAAUGCAUACGUCUAAAGAUUCGAUGUGACGGAGAAUGUGAAAAAUUUUGCAAAAUUUUUGGGGAACUAAACAAGGCCUAAACCAAAUACGCCUUUUUGCAAGGAAAAAAAAAUCGAAGUACAGCCCUUUCCACUCCAAAAUGCCAAACUAAGCGUGCCUUUGUAUCGCUAGCUCUCUUCUCCUUUCCGUACCUUUUUCAUUUCAUCAUGCUAAUAAAAACACAUUAUGAGUUCAUGACCCACUCCACUAUUCAUGAAACAGUGGCCUGCUUUUGCCCCCAUGACCUGUACUCAGUCAGGUGCCAUACUGAUCGACCGGCAAGUAGGCGGAUCAUAUACACCUUUUUCUCUUUUUGAAUUUUGAUGCCCCCCUUUCCACCCAGAACCAGAAUACCCAACAAGUUGGAAAAAGAAAAAGAAAAAUAAACAUCUCAUAUAUACUACUCCCUCGGCCCGUGGCCCAAGUCCAGCUGUUGCGCAACACGACAACGCUGUGGUGGAUACUGCCUAGCUGGGAUCAGUCAUCAGUGAGGGUAAUCCUCCGCCUCCUCCUCCUCCUGUAAUCCACUGUGACGAGUGACGGACGCAUGCUUAUCCCUCUUUAGAUUACACAAGUCGAGGAUAAGCACGUACUUACGUGGGUGGGGCUCUGAUUUUUAUCUCGUUUCGUUAGGAGUAAAGACGAGCGCUCCAGCUUCUUUCAUCGCUUGCUUGUGUUGUGCUGCGUCUUUCUCCCUUUCGUCUCUCUCCAGUACCACCGCAAAGCAGCAGCAAGAUGGCGACGCUGACGCCUUCGCGCCACUUGCUCCACCGAGCUAUCCUUCGGCAGUCGGCACUCUGACAGAUUUGUUUCCUAUUUCAAAUGAGCGAACACGCAUAUGAGCCUUGUUUACUUCCACCCAAAACGAAACUAAUUACACAGUUUGAUCAGAAUUUACGAGACAAAACUUUUGAAGCUAGUUAGUCUAUAGUUAGAUAAUGAUUACUACAAACAAAUCAAAGUGCUACAAUAUCAUAAAAUUUUUCAAUGCAGGAACUAAACACGGCCAUGGUUAAACCCUUUCGUUUUGUUUUUUAUCUUUACACUCCAAAUCCAAUGUACUCGUACAUCUUCAAGCUGGAGCUGUGCUACCACCUCUCGAUAUAUCGCUGCCGUGGGCAACCCACCUUCCUACUACGUCAGCGUUUGGUUACUGCUGGGCUCUUAACAAUUUUGGUUUUAGACUUUCAGGGGGCUGAUUUACGAUUUCGGCAUGGGAUUUCGAUUUCGUGUCAUGAGUUCAGGUCGCUGUUCUGUUGACUUGCGCGCCUGUUUUUAGCCGCUGGAUAUUUAUCAGAUGAUGAUGGCGCACUCAUUGGUGGUACCAACGAACAAAGCAGAUUGUUCUUGAUCUCAUCGUCUCCCUACGUUUUUUCUUUUGUCUGUACAGUUUUUAUCAGCAGCACAUCACAACCACACCCCACCCUGACAAGUGACAACGACGCAUAUACCGAAAAAUUCGUUCGCAGACAAGACACUUGAUUACACACAGACAGCUUCUUCCGUUCCACUUGCGCGAGUUGCACGGAGGAGCAACAGCGGCAUCCGGAGCGGAGCUCGUCCGGAUCCCAAUCCAAUUGCUCCCGAGCUUAUCGCAUUCCAUCCGCUGGAGCUGUCACCGGGAUGCGCGCGCGCGCGCGCCCCCGUCGCAUUCGUGCACCGCGCAAGUGCCGCGCAGCUCCUUGUCCCGUAGGAGCCUUGGCUGGCGCAUCAUCCGUCGCGGCACGCCUCAUUGCCUCGCCGCGGUGCCCGGUGGCUGGCUGGCUGGCUCUGACCGAUCGGCGCAGGGCUAGAUGACGAGCUGCUCCACGCGCGGCGCCAUCGCCGCCUGCUCGACCGGCGCGGCAGGGAACCAAGGCUGGGCCGGCCGGUUCAGCUGGGAAGGCGGGGGCACCAGCGCCAUGGCCAUGUUGGCGGCGGCGGCCUCGCCUCGCUUCCGCCUCUUGGGCGAGCCGCUGGUCGAAGACGAGGAGGUGGUGGAGGAGCAGGACGAGAAGGACGAGUCCGAGGAGGAGGUGGCGGGCUCGGGCGACGGCCGCUUGUCCCCGGCGGUGGCCGCGGCGGCGAUCUCGGAGCCGAUGCGGAGCGGGAAGUUGAGGAGCGCGCGGGAGCCGCGCAUGCGGUAGGCGGCGCGGUCGUAGGCGAGCGCGGCGUCCUCGGCGGUGUCGUAGGUCCCGAGCCAGACGCGCGCGCCGUUCUUGGCGGGGUCCCUGAUCUCCGCCGCGAACUUGCCCCACGGCCGCUGCCUGACCCCUCGGUAGUGCUUGCCCCUGGCCACGGCCGCCGCGGCCGCCUCCCGCCUGGGCGUGGCGGCCGCCUCGCUGCUGGGCGUCAGCGGCUCCGCCGGGUCCAGGAGGAGGCCGCCGAAGCAGCAGGAGGAGCCGUCGUAGGAGUAGGAGUAGGAGUGGGAGUCCGGGGACAGCGCCGGCUCGGGCUUGACGUGCGCGAAGGAGCCGUCGGGCAGCCAGCCGUAGG
rnacentral:lncRNA from 1 species